rnacentral:lncRNA from 1 species
GGGAUGCAACACGAGGACUUUCCGGGAGGUCACCCAUCCUAGUACUACUCUCGCCCAAGCACCCUUAACUGCGGAGUUCUGAUGGGAUCCAGUGCAUUAGUGCUGGUAUGAUCGCAUGUGUUACUACAUGCAAUGUAAUCGUAUCUAUUCUUUUUUAAAGAUUAUAUGAUCCAUUUGCCGUGGGUCCCACCAGCUAUGUAGGAAUACCCUAUCUUCUUUAUAAGAGCUUUGAUACAUGCAAAAUAUUGGAAAACAAUGUCCGAACAUAUAAUUUUCCCCCCGUAAUAUAGCAAAGAUCACGAAAAGGCCCAAAAAAGUACAUUUAGGUCAAAAUUUGGAGUUGAAAAAAAACAAAAAGAAGAAUUCCAUUUUCCUUCCUCAUUCAUUGGAGAGCUCUCUUUGGGCUUUCCGAAAAGGUAUCACAUGCCAUGUUUAGCCUCACGGUCUAAAAGUUAUAGAGUCAUACAUUUUUAACAAAACAAAAUAGAGAAAAACCAAAAAAACGAGGGAUGCAACACGAGGACUUUCUGGGAAGUCACCUAUCCUAGUACUACUCUCGCCCAAGCACCCUUAACUGCGGAGUUCUGAUGGGAUCCGGUGCAUUAGUGCUGGUAUGAUUGCAUGUGUUACUACAUGCAAUGUAAUCGUAUCUAAUGCUUUUAAAGACUUUAUGAUCCAUUUGCCGUGGGUCCCCACAAGCUAAGUAGGAAUACCCUAUCUUCUUUAUAAGAGUUUUCAUACAUGCAAAAUAUGGAAAACAAUGUCCGAACAUAUAUUUUCCCCCCGUAAUAUAGCAAAGAUCACGAAAAGGCCCACAAAAAGUACAUUUAGUUCAAAAUUUGGAGUAGAAAAAAAAACAAUAGAAAAGUUCCAAUUUCNNNNNNNNNNNNNNNNNNNNNNNNNNNNNNNNNNNNNNNNNNNNNNNNNNGGGUCCCACCAGCUACGUAGGAAUACCCUAUCUUGUUUAUAAGAGCUUUGAUACAUGCAAAAUAUUCGAAAACAAUGUCCGAACAUAUAAUUUUCGUCCCGUAAUAUAGCAAAGAUCACAAAAAGGCCAGAAAGAGUACAUUUACGUCAAAAUUUGGAUAGAAAAAAAACGAAUAGAAGAAUUCCAUUUUGACUUCCUCAUUCAUCGGAAAGCUCUCUUUGGGCUUUCCGAAAAGGUAUCACAUGCCAAGUUUGGAAUCACGGUUUAAAAGUUAUAGAGUCAUACAUUUUUAACAAAAAAUAAAGAGAAAACCCGAAAAAUGAGGGAUGCAACACGAGGACUUUUCGGGAGGUCACCCAUCGUAGUACUACUCUCGCCCAAGCACGCUUAACUGUAGAGUUCUGAUGGGAUCCGGUUCAUUAUUGCUGGUAUGAUCGCAUCCGUUACUACAUGCAAUGCAAUCGUAUCUAUUCUUUUUUGAAGACUUUAUGAUCCAUUUGCCGUGGGUCCCACCAGCUAUGUUGGAAUACCCUAUCUUGUUUAUAAGAGCUUUGUUACAUGCAAAAUAUUCGAAAACAAUGUCCGAACAUAUAAUAUUUGCCCCGUAAUAUAGCAAAGAUCACGAAAAGGCCAGAAAACCUAUAUUAAGUUCAAAAUUUGGAGUAGAAAAAAACCAAUAGAAGAAUUCCAUUUUCCUUCCUCACUCAUCGGAGAGCUCUCUUUGGGGCUUUCCGAAAAGGUAUCACAUGCAAAGUUUGGCCUCACAGGCUAAAAGUUAUAGAGUCGUACAUUUUUAACAAAAAAAAAAAGAGAAAAGCCGAAAAAAAGAAGGAUGCAACACAAGGACUUUCCGGGAGGUCAGCCAUCCUAAUAUUACUCUCGCCCAAGCACGCUUAACUGUAGAGUUCUGAUGGGAUCCGGUGCAUUAGUGCUGGUAUGAUCGCAUCUGUUACUACAUGCAAUGCAAUCGUAUCUAUUCUUUUUUUAAGACUUUAUGAUCCAUUUACCGUGGGUCCCACCAGCUACGUAGGAAUAACCUAUCUUAUUUAUAAGAGCUUUGAUACAUGCAAAAUAUUCGAAAACAAUGUCCGAACAUAUAAUUUUCGUCCCGUAAUAUAGCAAAGAUCACAAAAAGGCCAGAAAGAGUACAUUAAGGUCAAAAUUUUGGAGUAGAAAAAAAAACCCUUCCUCAUUCAUUAAAGAGCUCUCUUUGGCAUUUCCGAAAAGGUGUCACAUGCCAAGUUCGGCCUCACGGUCUAAAAGUUAUAGAGUCAUACAUUGUUAACAAAAAAAAAGAGAAAAACCGAUUAAAAGAGUUAUGCAACACAAGGACUUUCCUGGAGGUCACCCGUCCUAGUACUACUCUCGCCCAAGCACGCUUAAAUGCGGAGUUCUGAUGGGAUCCGGUCCAUGAGUGGUGGUAUGAUCACAUCCGUUACUACAUGCAAUGCAAUCGUAUCUAUUAUUUUUUGAAGACUUUAUGAUCCAUUUGCCGUGGGUCCCACCAGCUAUGUAGGAAUACCCUAUCUUGUUUAUAAGAGCUUUGAUACAUCCAAAAUAUUCGAAAACAAUGUUGGAACGUAUAAGUUUCGCUCAGUAAUAUAGCAAAGAUCACGAAAAGGCCACAAAAAGUACAUUAAGGUAAAAAUUUAGAGUAGGAAAAAAAAACAAUAGGAGAAUUCCAUGUUCCUUCCUCAAUCAUCGGAGAGCUCUCUUUGGGCUUUCCAAAAAGGUAUCACAUGCCAAGUUUGGCCUCACGGUCUAAAAGUUAUAGAGUCAUACAUUUUUAACAAAAAAAAAUAGAGAAAAACCAAAAAAAAGAGGGAUGCAACACGAAGACUUUCCUGGAGGUCACCCAUCCUAGUACUACUCUCGCCCAAGCACGCUUAACUGCGGUGUUCUGAUAGGAUCAAGUGCAUUAGUGCUGGUAGGAUCGCAUUCGUUACUACAUGCAAUGCAAUUAUAUAUAUUCUUUUUUGAAGACUUUAUGAUCCAUUUGCGGUAGGUCCCACCAGCUAUGUAGGAAUACCCUAUCUUGCUUAUAAGAGUUUUGAUACAUGCAAAAAUAUUCGAAAACAAUGUCCGAACAUAUAAUUUUUGUCCCGUAAUAUAACAAAGAUCACGAAAAGGCCAAAAAUAGUACAUUUCGGUCAAAACAUGGAGCAGAAAAAAAACCCCUUCCUCAUUCAUCGGAGAGCUCUCAUUGGGCUUUCCGAAAAGAUAUCACAUGCAAAGUUUGGCCUCACGGUUUAAAAGUUAUAGAGUCAAAUAUUUUUAACAAAAAAAAGAGAGAAAAACCGAAAACAAAGAGGGAUGCAACACGAGGACUUUCCGGAAGGUCACCCAUCCUAGUACUACUCUAGCCCAAGCACGCUUAACCGCGGAGUUCUGAUAGGAUCCGGUGCAUUAGUGCUGGUAUGAUCGCAUCAGUUACUACAUGCAAUGCAAUCAUAUAUAUUUUUUUUGAAGACUUUAUGAUCCAUUUGCCGUGGGUCCCACCAGCUAUGUAGGAAUACCUAUCUUGUUUAUAAGAGCUUUGAUACAUGCAAAAUAUUUGAAAACAAUGUCCGAACGUAUAAUCUUCGUCCCGUAAUAUAGCAAAGAUCACGAAAAGGCCAGAAAAAGUACAUUAAGGUCAAAAUUUUGACUAGAAAAAAAAAACAAUAGAAAAAUUCCAUUGUCCUUCCUCAUUCAUCGGAGAGUUCUCUUUGGGCUUUCCGAAAAGGUAUCACAUGCCAAGUUUGGCCUCACGGUCUAAAACUUAUAGAAUCAUACAUUCUUAACAAAAAAAAAAAAAAAACCGAAAAAAAGAAGAAUGCAACACAAGGACUUUCCAGGAGGUCAACCAUCCUAGUAGUACUCUCGCCCAAUCACGCUUAACUGCAGAGUUCUGAUGGGAUCCGGUGCAUUAGUGCUGGUAUGAUCGCAUCUGUUACUACAUGCAAUGCAAUCGUAUCUAUUCUUUUUUGAAGACUUUAUGAUCCAUUUGCCGUGGGUCCCACCAGCUAUGUAGGAAUACCUUAUCUUGUUUAUAAGAGCUUUGAUACAUGCAAAAUAUUCGAAUACAAUGUCUGAACGUAUAACUUUCGCCCCGUAAUAUAGCGAAGAUCACGAAAAGGCCCGAAAAAGUACAUUAAGGUCAAAAUUUCGAGUAGAAAUAAAAACCAAUAGAAGAAUUCCAAUUUCCUUCCUCAUUCAUUGGAGAGCUCUCUUUGGGCUUUCCGAAAAGGUAUCACAUGCGAAGUUUCGCCUCACAAUCUAAAAGUUAUAUAGUCAUACAUUUUUAACAAAACAAAUAGAGAAAAACCGAAAAAAAGAAUGAUACAACACAACGACUUUCCCGGAGGUCACCCAUCCUAAUACUAUUCUCGCCCAAGCAAGCUUAACUGCAGAGUAUUGAUGGGAUCUGAUGCAUAAGUGCUGAUAUGAUCGCAUCCGUUACUACAUGCAAUGCAAUCGUAUCUAUUCGUUUUUGAAGACUUUAUGAUCCAUUUGCCGUGGGUCCCACCAGCUAUGUAGGAAUACCCUAUCUUGUUUAUAAGAGCUUUGAUACAUGCAAAAAAUUGGAAAACAAUGUCUGAACAUAUAAUUUUUGUCCCGUAAUAUAGCAAAGAUCACGAAAAGGAUAGAAAAAGUACAUUAAGGUCAAAAUUUUGAGUAGAAAAAAAAUCAAUAGAAGGAUUCCAAUUUCCUUGCUCAUUCAUAUAGCUCUCUUUGGGCUUUCCGAAAAGGUAUCACAUGCAAAGUUUGGCCUCGCGGUCUAAAAGUUAUAGAGGUAUACUUUUUUACCAAAAAAAAAGAAGAAAAAAACCAAAAAAAAGAGGGAUUCAACACGAGGACUUUCUGGGAGGUCACUCAUCCUAUUACUACUCUCGCCCAAGCACGCUUAACUGCGGAGUUCUGAUAGGAUCCAGUGCAUUAGUGCGGGUAUGAUCACAUCCGUUACUACAUGCAAUGCAAUCGUAUAUAUUUUUUUUGAAGACUUUAUGAUCCAUUUGCCGUGGGUCUCACCAGCUAUAUAGGAAUACCCUAUCUUGUUUAUAAGAGCUUUGAUACAUGCAAAAUAUUUGAAAACAAUGUCCGAACGUAUAAUCUUCGUCCCGUAAUAUAGCAAAGAUCACUAAAAGGCUAGAAAAAGUACAUUAAGAUCAAAAUUUUGAGUAGAAAAAUAAACAAUAGAAAAAUUCCAUUGUCCUUCCUCAUUCAUCGGAGAGUUCUCUUUGGGCUUUCCGAAAAGGUAUCACAUGCCAAGUUUGGCCUCACGGUCUAAAACUUAUAGAAUCAUACAUUCUUAACAAAAAAAAAAGAGAAAAACCGAAAAAAAGAAGAAUUUAACACAAGGACUUUCCAGGAGGUCAACCAUCCUAGUAGUACUCUCGCCCAAUCACGCUUAACUGCAGAGUUCUGAUGGGAUCCGGUGCAUUAGUGCUGGUAUGAUCGCAUCUGUUACUACAUGCAAUGCAAUCGUAUCUGUUACUACAUGCAAUGCAAUCGUAUCUGUUACUACAUGCAAUGCAAUCGUAUCUAUUCUUUUUUGAAGACUUUAUGAUCCAUUUGCCGUGGGUCCCACCAGCUAUGUAGGAAUACCCUAUCUUGUUUAUAAGAGCUUUGAUACAUGCAAAAUAUUCGAAUACAAUGUCUAAACGUAUAAGUUUCGCCCCGUAAUAUAGCGAAGAUCACGAAAAGGCCCGAAAAAGUACAUUAAGGUCAAAAUUUGGAGUAGAAAUAAAAACCAAUAGAAGAAUUCCAAUUUCCUUCCUCAUUCAUUGGAGAGCUCUCUUUGGGCUUUCCGAAAAGGUAUCACAUGCGAAGUUUGGCCUCACAAUCUAAAAGUUAUAUAGUCAUACAUUUUUAACAAAACAAAUAGAGAAAAACCGAAAAAAAGAAUGAUACAACACAAGGACUUUCCGGGAGGUCACCCAUCCUAAUACUAUUCUCGCCCAAGCAAGCUUAACUGCAGAGUAUUGAUGGGAUCUGAUGCAUAAGGGCUGAUAUGAUCGCAUCCGUUACUACAAGCAAUGCAAUCGUAUCUAUUCGUUUUUGAAGACUUUAUGAUCCAUUUGCCGUGGGUCCCACCAGCUAUGUAGGAAUACCCUAUCUUGUUUAUAAGAGCUUUGAUACAUGCAAAAAAUUGGAAAACAAUGUCUGAACAUAUAAUUUUUGUCCCGUAAUAUAGCAAAGAUCACGAAAAGGAUAGAAAAAGUACAUUAAGGUCAAAAUUUUGAGUAGAAAAAAAAUCAAUAGAAGGAUUCCAAUUUCCUUCCUCAUUCAUAUAGCUCUCUUUGGGCUUUCCGAAAAGGUAUCACAUGCAAAGUUUGGCCCCGCGGUCUAAAAGUUAUAGAGGUAUACAUUUUUACCAAAAAAAAGAGGGAUUCAACACGAGGACUUUUUUNNNNNNNNNNNNNNNNNNNNNNNNNNNNNNNNNNNNNNNNNNNNNNNNNNUGCUGGUAUGAUCGCAUCAGUUACUACAUGCAAUGCAAUCAUAUAUAUUCUUUUUUGAAGACUUUAUGAUCCAUUUGCCGUAGGUCCCACCAGCUAUGUAGGAAUACCCUAUCUUGUUUAUAAGAGCUUUGAUACAUGCAAAAUAUUCGAAAACAAUGUCCGAACAUAUAAUUUUUGUCCCGUAAUAUAGCAAAGAUCACGAAAAGGCCAGAAAAAAUACAUUUCGGUCAAAAUUUGGAGUAGAAAAAAAGCCCUUCCUCAUUCAUUGGACAGCUCUCUUUGGGCUUUCCGAAAAGGUAUCACAUGCCAAGUUUGGCCUCACGGUCUAAACCUUAUAGACUCAUACAUUUUUCACAAAAAAAAGAAGAGAAAAACCAAAAAAAAGAGUGAUUAAACACGAGGAUUUUCCUGGAGGUCACCCAUCCUAGUACUACUCUCGCCCAAGCACGCUUAACUGCGAAGGUCUGAUGGGAUAUGGUGCAUUAGUGCUGGUAUGAUCGCAUCUGUUACUACAUGCAAUGCAAUCGUAUCUAUUCUUUUUUGAAGAUUUGAUGAUUCAUUUACCGUGGGUCCCACCAGCUAUGUAGGAAUAACCUAUCUUAUUUAUAAAAGCUUUGAUACAUGCAAAAUAUUCGAAAACAAUGUCCGAACAUAUAAUGUUCGCCCCAAAAUAUAGCAAAGACCACAAAAAUGCCAUAAAAAGUACAUUAAGGUCAAAAUUUGGAGUAGGAAAAAAAUCAAUAGGAGAAUUCCAUUUUCCUUCCCUCAUUCAUCAGAGAGCUCUCUUUGGGCAUUCCAAAAAGGUAUCACAUGCCAAGUUUGGCCUCACGGUCUAAAAGUUAUAGAGUAUUACAUUUUUAACAAAAAAAAAAGGGAAAAACCGAAAAAGAGGGAUGCAACACGAAGACUUUUCUGGAGGUCACCCAUUCUAGUACUACUCUCCCCCAAGCACGCUUAACUGUGGUGUUCUAAUAGGAUCAAGUGCAUUAGUGCUGGUAUGAUCGCAUCAGUUACUACAUGCAAUGCAAUCAUAUAUAUUCUUUUUUGAAGACUUUAUGAUCCAUUUGCCGUAGGUCCCACCAGCUAUGUAGGAAUACCCUAUCUUGUUUAUAAGAGCUUUGAUACAUGCAAAAUAUUCGAAAACAAUGUCCGAACAUAUAAUUUUUGUCCCGUAAUAUAGCAAAGAUCACGAAAAGGCCAGAAAAAAUACAUUUCGGUCAAAAUUUGGAGUAGAAAAAAAGCCCUUCCUCAUUCAUUGGACAGCUCUCUUUGGGCUUUCCGAAAAGGUAUCAUAUGCCAAGUUUGGCCUCACGGUCUAAACCUUAUAGACUCAUACAUUUUUCACAAAAAAAAGAAGAGAAAAACCAAAAAAAAGAGUGAUUAAACACGAGGACUUUCCUGGAGGUCAUCCAUCCUAGUACUACUCUCGCCCAAGCACGCUUAAUUGCGAAGUUCUGAUGGGAUCUGGUGCAUUAGUGCUGGUAUGAUCGCAUAUGUUACUACAUGCAAUGCAAUCGUAUCUAUUCUUUUUUGAAGAUUUUAUGAUUCAUUUACCGUGGGUACCACCAGCUAUGUAGGAAUAACCUAUCUUAUUUAUAAGAGCUUUGAUACAUGCAAAAUAUUCGAAAACAAUGUCCGAACAUAUAAUUUUUGUCCCGUAAUAUAGCAAAGAUCACGAAAAGGCCAGAAAAAAUACAUUUCGGUCAAAAUUUGGAGUAGAAAAAAACCCUUCCUCAUUCAUUGGACAGCUCUGUUUGAGCUUUCCGAAAAGGUAUCACAUGCCAAGUUUGGCCUCACGGUCUAAAAGUUAUAGAGUCAUACAUUUUUCACAAAAAAAAGAAGAGAAAAACCAAAAAAAAGAGUGAUGAAACACGAGGACUUUCCUGGAGGUCACCCAUCCUAGUACUACUCUCGCCCAAGCACGCGUAACUGCGAAGUUCUGAUGGGAUCUGGUGCAUUAGUGCUGGUAUGAUCGCAUCUGUUACUACAUGCAAUGCAAUCGUAUCUAUUCUUUUUUGAAGAUUUUAUGAUUCAUUUACCGUGGGUCCCACCAGCUAUGUAGGAAUAACCUAUCUUAUUUAUAAGAGCUUUGAUACAUGCAAAAUAUUGGAAAACAAUGUCCGAACAUAUAAUGUUCGCCCCAAAAUAUAGCAAAGACAACAAAAAUCCCAUAAAAAGUACAUUAAGGUCAAAAUUUGGAGUAGGAAAAAAAUCAAUAAGAGAAUUCCAUUUUCCUUCCCUCAUUCAUCGGAGAGGUCUCUUUGGGCAUUCCAAAAAGGUAUCACAUGCCAAGUUUGGCCUCACGGUCUAAAAGUUAUAGAGUAAUACAUUUUUAACAAAAAAAAAAGAGAAAAACCGAAAAAAAGAGGGAUGCAACACGAAGACUUUUCUGGAGGUCACCCAUCCUAGUACUACUCUCCCAAAGCACGCUUAACUGUGGUGUUCUGAUAGGAUCAAGUGCAUUAGUGCGGGUAUGAUCGCAUCAGUUACUACAUGCAAUGCAAUCAUAUAUAUUCUUUUUUGAAGACUUUAUGAUCCAUUUGCCGUAGGUCCCACCAGCUAUGUAGGAAUACCCUAUCUUGUUUAUAAGAGCUUUGAUACAUGCAAAAUAUUCGAAAACAAUGUCCGAACAUAUAAUUUUUGUCCCGUAAUAUAGCAAAGAUCACGAAAAGGCCAGGAAAAAUACAUUUCGGUCAAAAUUUGGAGUAGAAAAAAAACCCUUCCUCAUUCAUUGGACAGCUCUCUUUGGGCUUUCCGAAAAGGUAUCACAUGCCAAGUUUGGCCUCACGGUCUAAAAGUUAUAGAUUCAUACAUUUUUCACAAAAAAAAGAAGAGAAAAACCAAAAAAAAGAGGGAUGAAACACGAGGACUUUCCCAGAGGUCACCCAUCCUAGUACUACUCUCGCCCAAGCACGCUUAACUGCGAAGUUCUGAUGGGAUCUGGUGCAUUAGUGCUGGUAUGAUCGCAUCUGUUACUACAUGCAAUGCAAUCGUAUCUAUUCUUUUUUGAAGAUUUUAUGAUUCAUUUACCGUGGGUCCCACCAGCUAUGUAGGAAAACCUAUCUUAUUUAUAAGAUCUUUGAUACAUGCAAAAUAUUGGAAAACAAUGUCCGAACAUAUAAUGUUCGCCCCAAAAUAUAGCGAAGACCACAAAAAUGCCAUAAAAAGUACAUUAAGGUCAAAAUUUGGAGUAGGAAAAAAAUCAAUAGGAGAAUUCCAUUUUCCUUCCCUCAUUCAUCGGAGAGCUCUCUUUGGGCAUUCCAAAAAGGUAUCACAUGCCAAGUUUGGCCUCACGGUCUAAAAGUUAUAGAAUAUUACAUUUUUAACAAAAAAAAAGAGAAAAACCAAAAAAAAGAGGGAUGCAACACGAGGACUUUUCUGGAGGUCACCCAUCCUACUACUACUCUCGCCCAAGCACACUUAACUGCGGUGUUCUGAUAGGAUCAAGUGCAUUAGUGCUGGUAUGAUCGCAUCAGUUACUACAUGCAAUGCAAUCAUAUAUAUUCUUUUUUGAAGACUUUAUGAUCCAUUUGCCGUAGGUCCCACCAGCUAUGUAGGAAUACCCUAUCUUGUUUAUAAGAGCUUUGAUACAUGCAAAAUAUUCGAAAACAAUGUCCGAACAUAUAAUUUUUGUCCCGUAAUAUAGCAAAGAUCACGAAAAGGCCAGAAAAAAUACAUUUUGGUCAAAAUUUGGAGUAGAAAAAAAGCCCUUCCUCAUUCAUUGGACAGCUCUCUUUGGGCUUUCCGAAAAGGUAUCACAUGCCAAGUUUGGCCUCACGGUCUAAACCUUAUAGACUCAUACAUUUUUCACAAAAAAAAGAAGAGAAAAACCAAAAAAAAGAGUGAUUAAACACGAGGAUUUUCCUGGAGGUCACCCAUCCUAGUACUACUCUCGCCCAAGCACGCUUAACUGCGAAGGUCUGAUGGGAUAUGGUGCAUUAGUGCUGGUAUGAUCGCAUCUGUUACUACAUGCAAUGCAAUCGUAUCUAUUCUUUUUUGAAGAUUUGAUGAUUCAUUUACCGUGGGUCCCACCAGCUAUGUAGGAAUAACCUAUCUUAUUUAUAAAAGCUUUGAUACAUGCAAAAUAUUCGAAAACAAUGUCCGAACAUAUAAUGUUCGCCCCAAAAUAUAGCAAAGAUCACAAAAAUGCCAUAAAAAGUACAUUAAGGUCAAAAUUUGGAGUAGGAAAAAAAUCAAUAGGAGAAUUCCAUUUUCCUUCCCUCAUUCAUCGGAGAGCUCUCUUUGGGCAUUCCAAAAAGGUAUCACAUGCCAAGUUUGGCCUCACGGUCUAAAAGUUAUAGAGUAUUACAUUUUUAACAAAAAAAAAAGGGAAAAACCGAAAAAGAGGGAUGCAACACGAAGACUUUUCUGGAGGUCACCCAUCCUAGUACUACUCUCCCCCAAGCACGCUUAACUGUGGUGUUCUAAUAGGAUCAUGUGCAUUAGUGCUGGUAUGAUCGCAUCAGUUACUACAUGCAAUGCAAUCAUAUAUAUUCUUUUUUGAAGACUUUAUGAUCCAUUUGCCGUAGGUCCCACCAGCUAUGUAGGAAUACCCUAUCUUGUUUAUAAGAGCUUUGAUACAUGCAAAAUAUUCGAAAACAAUGUCCGAACAUAUAAUUUUUGUCCCGUAAUAUAGCAAAGAUCACGAAAAGGCCAGAAAAAAUACAUUUCGGUCAAAAUUUGGAGUAGAAAAAAAGCCCUUCCUCAUUCAUUGGACAGCUCUCUUUGGGCUUUCCGAAAAGGUAUCAUAUGCCAAGUUUGGCCUCACGGUCUAAACCUUAUAGACUCAUACAUUUUUCACAAAAAAAAGAAGAGAAAAACCAAAAAAAAGAGUGAUUAAACACGAGGACUUUCUUGGAGGUCAUCCAUCCUAGUACUACUCUCGCCCAAGCACGCUUAACUGCGAAGUUCUGAUGGGAUCUGGUGCAUUAGUGCUGGUAUGAUCGCAUCUGUUACUACAUGCAAUGCAAUCGUAUCUAUUCUUUUUUGAAGAUUUUAUGAUUCAUUUACCGUGGGUACCACCAGCUAUGUAGGAAUAACCUAUCUUAUUUAUAAGAGCUUUGAUACAUGCAAAAUAUUCGAAAACAAUGUCCGAACAUAUAAUUUUUGUCCCGUAAUAUAGCAAAGAUCACGAAAAGGCCAGAAAAAAUACAUUUUGGUCAAAAUUUGGAGUAGAAAAAAACCCUUCCUCAUUCAUUGGACAGCUCUGUUUGAGCUUUCCGAAAAGGUAUCACAUGCCAAGUUUGGCCUCACGGUCUAAAAGUUAUAGAGUCAUACAUUUUUCACAAAAAAAAAGAAGAGAAAAACCAAAAAAAAGAGUGAUGAAACACGAGGACUUUCCUGGAGGUCACCCAUCCUAGUACUACUCUCGCCCAAGCACGCGUAACUACGAAGUUCUGAUGGGAUCUGGUGCAUUAGUGCUGGUAUGAUCGCAUCUGUUACUACAUGCAAUGCAAUCGUAUCUAUUCUUUUUUGAAGAUUUUAUGAUUCAUUUACCGUGGGUCCCACCAGCUAUGUAGGAAUAACCUAUCUUAUUUAUAAGAGCUUUGAUACAUGCAAAAUAUUGGAAAACAAUGUCCGAACAUAUAAUGUUCGCCCCAAAAUAUAGCAAAGACAACAAAAAUGCCAUAAAAAGUACAUUAAGGUCAAAAUUUGGAGUAGGAAAAAAAUCAAUAAGAGAAUUCCAUUUUCCUUCCCUCAUUCAUCGGAGAGCUCUCUUUGGGCAUUCCAAAAAGGUAUCACAUGCCAAGUUUGGCCUCACGGUCUAAAAGUUAUAGAGUAGUACAUUUUUAACAAAAAAAAAAGAGAGAAACCGAAAAAAAGAGGGAUGCAACACGAAGACUUUUCUGGAGGUCACCCAUCCUAGUACUACUCUCCCAAAGCACGCUUAACUGUGGUGUUCUGAUAGGAUCAAGUGCAUUAGUGCGGGUAUGAUCGCAUCAGUUACUACAUGCAAUGCAAUCAUAUAUAUUCUUUUUUGAAGACUUUAUGAUCCAUUUGCCGUAGGUCCCACCAGCUAUGUAGGAAUACCCUAUCUUGUUUAUAAGAGCUUUGAUACAUGCAAAAUAUUCGAAAACAAUGUCCGAACAUAUAAUUUUUGUCCCGUAAUAUAGCAAAGAUCACGAAAAGGCCAGGAAAAAUACAUUUCGGUCAAAAUUUGGAGUAGAAAAAAAACCCUUCCUCAUUCAUUGGACAGCUCUCUUUGGGCUUUCCGAAAAGGUAUCACAUGCCAAGUUUGGCCUCACGGUCUAAAAGUUAUAGAUUCAUACAUUUUUCACAAAAAAAAGAAGAGAAAAACCAAAAAAAAGAGGGAUGAAACACGAGGACUUUCCCAGAGGUCACCCAUCCUAGUACUACUCUCGCCCAAGCACGCUUAACUGCGAAGUUCUGAUGGGAUCUGGUGCAUUAGUGCUGGUAUGAUCGCAUCUGUUACUACAUGCAAUGCAAUCGUAUCUAUUCUUUUUUGAAGAUUUUAUGAUUCAUUUACCGUGGGUCCCACCAGCUAUGUAGGAAAACCUAUCUUAUUUAUAAGAUCUUUGAUACAUGCAAAAUAUUGGAAAACAAUGUCCGAACAUAUAAUGUUCGCCCCAAAAUAUAGCGAAGACCACAAAAAUGCCAUAAAAAGUACAUUAAGGUCAAAAUUUGGAGUAGGAAAAAAAUCAAUAGGAGAAUUCCAUUUUCCUUCCCUCAUUCAUCGGAGAGCUCUCUUUGGGCAUUCCAAAAAGGUAUCACAUGCCAAGUUUGGCCUCACGGUCUAAAAGUUAUAGAAUAUUACAUUUUUAACAAAAAAAAAGAGAAAAACCGAAAAAAAGAGGGAUGCAACACGAAGACUUUUCUGGAGGUCACCCAUCCUACUACUACUCUCGCCCAAGCACACUUAACUGCGGUGUUCUGAUAGGAUCAAGUGCAUUAGUGCUGGUAUGAUCGCAUCAGUUACUACAUGCAAUACAAUCAUAUAUAUUCUUUUUUGAAGACUUUAUGAUCCAUUUGCCGUAGGUCCCACCAGCUAUGUAGGAAUACCUUAUCUUGUUUAUAAGAGCUUUGAUACAUGCAAAAUAUUCGAAAACAAUGUCCGAACAUAUAAUUUUUGUCCCGUAAUAUAGCAAAGAUCACGAAAAGGCCAGAAAAAAUACAUUUCGGUCAAAAUUUGGAGUAGAAAAAAAACCCUUCCUCAUUCAUUGGACAGCUCUCUUUGGGCUUUCCGAAAAGGUAUCACAUGCCAAGUUUGGCUUCACGGUCUAAACCUUAUAGACUCAUACAUUUUUCACAAAAAAAAGAAGAGAAAAACAAAAAAAAAGAGUGAUUAAACACGAGGACUUUCCUGGAGGUCACCCAUCCUAGUACUACUCUCGCCCAAGCACUCUUAACUGCGAAGUUCUGAUGGGAUCUGGUGCAUUAGUGCUGGUAUGAACGCAUCUGUUACUACAUGCAAUGCAAUCGUAUGUAUUCUUUUUUGAAGAUUUUAUGAUUCAUUUACCGUGGGUCCCACCAGCUAUGUAGGAAUAACCUAUCUUAUUUAUAAAAGCUUUGAUACAUGCAAAAUAUUCGAAAACAAUGUCCGAACAUAUAAUGUUCGCCCCAAAAUAUAGCAAAGACCACAAAAAUGCCAUAAAAAGUACAUUAAGGUCAAAAUUUGGAGUAGGAAAAAAAUCAAUAGGAGAAUUCCAUUUUCCUUCCCUCAUUCAUCGGAGAGCUCUCUUUGGGCAUUCCAAAAAGGUAUCACAUGCCAAGUUUGGCCUCACGGUCUAAAAGUUAUAGAGUAUUACAUUUUUAACAAAAAAAAAAAGAGAAAAACCGAAAAAAAGAGGGAUGCAACACGAAGACUUUUCUGGAGGUCACCCAUCCUAGUACUACUCUCCCCCAAGCACGCUUAACUGUGGUGUUCUGAUAGGAUCAAGUGCAUUAGUGCUGGUAUGAUCGCAUCAGUUACUACAUGCAAUGCAAUCAUAUAUAUUCUUUUUUGAAGACUUUAUGAUCCAUUUGCCGUAGGUCCCACCAGCUAUGUAGGAAUACCCUAUCUUGUUUAUAAGAGCUUUGAUACAUGCAAAAUAUUCGAAAACAAUGUCCGAACAUAUAAUUUUUGUCCCGUAAUAUAGCAAAGAUCACGAAAAGGUCAGAAAAAAUAUAUUUCGGUCAAAAUUUGGAGUAGAAAAAAAGCCCUUCCUCAUUCAUUGGACAGCUCUCUUUGGGCUUUCCGAAAAGGUAUCACAUGCCAAGUUUGGCCUCACGGUCUAAACCUUAUAGACUCAUACAUUUUUCAUAAAAAAAAGAAGAGAAAAACAAAAAAAAAAAGAGUGAUUAAACACGAGGACUUUCCUGGAGGUCACCCAUCCUAGUACUACUCUCGCCCAAGCACGCUUAACUACGAAGUUCCGAUGGGAUCUGAUGCAUUAGUGCUGGUAUGAUCGCAUCUGUUACUACAUGCAAUGCAAUCGUAUCUAUUCUUUUUUGAAGAUUUUAUGAUUCAUUUACUGUGGGUCCCACCAGCUAUGUAGGAAUAACCUAUCUUAUUUAUAAAAGCUUUGAUACAUGCAAAAUAUUGGAAAACAAUGUCCGAACAUAUAAUGUUCGCCCCAAAAUAUAGCAAAGACCACAAAAAUGCCAUAAAAAGUACAUUAAGGUCAAAAUUUGGAGUAGGAAAAAAAUCAAUAGGAGAAUUCCAUUUUCCUUCCCUCAUUCAUCGGAGAGCUCUCUUUGGGCAUUCCAAAAAGGUAUCACAUGCCAAGUUUGGCCUCACGGUCUAAAAGUUAUAGAGUAAUACAUUUUUAACAAAAAAAAAAAAGAAAAAAACCGAAAACAAAGAGGGAUGCAACACGAAGACUUUCCUGGAGGUCACCCAUCCUAGUACUACUCUCACCCAAGCACACNUUAACUGUGGUGUUCUGAUAGGAUCAAGUGCAUUAGUGCUGGUAUGAUCGCAUCAGUUACUACAUGCAAUGCAAUCNNNNNNNNNNNNNNNNNNNNNNNNNNNNNNNNNNNNNNNNNNNNNNNNNNCUCCUCAGUCAUCUUUGAGCUCUCUUUGGGCUUUCCGAAAAGGUAUCACAUGCCCAGUUUGGCCUCACGGUCUAAAAGUUAUAAAGUCAUACAUUUUUAACAAAAAAAAAAGAGAAAAACCGAAAAAAAGAGGGAUGCAAUACGAGGACUUUCCACGAGGUCACCCAUCCUAGUACAACUCUCGCCAAAGCAUGCUUAACUGCGGAGUUUAGAUGGGAUCUGGUGCAUUAGUGCUGGUAUGAUCGCAUCUGUUACUACAUGCAAUGCAAUCGUAUCUAUUCUUAUUUAAAGACUUUAUCAUCCAUUUGCCAUGGGUCCCACCUGUAGGAAUACCCAAUCUUGUUUAUAAGAGCUUUGAUACAUGCAAAAUAUUCGAAAACAACGUCCGAACAUAUAAUUUUCGCCCCGUAAUAUAGCAAAGAUCACGAAAAGGCCCGAAAAAGUACAUUAAGGUCAAAAUUUGGAAUAGAAAAAAAAACCAAAAGAAGUAUUCCAUUGUCCUUUGUCAUUCAUCGAAGAGCUCUCUUUGGGCUUUCCGAAAAGGUAUCGCAAGCCAAGUUUGGCCUCACGGUUUAAAAGUUAUAAAGUCAUACAUUUUUAACAAAAAAAAAAAGAGAAAAAACCGAAAAAAAGAGGGAUGCAACACGAGGACUUUUCUGGAGGUCACCCAUCCUAGUACUACUCUCGCCCGAUCACCCUUAACUGCGUAGUUUUGAUGGGAUUCGAUGCAUUAGUGCUGGUAUGAUCGCAUCUGUUACUACAUGCAAUGUAAUCGUAUCUAUUCUUUUUUAAAGACUUUAUGAUCCAUUUGCCGUGGGUCCCACCAGCUAUGUAGGAAUACCCUAUCUUCUUUAUAAGAGCUUUGAUAUAUGCAAAAUAGUGGAAAACCAUGUCCGAACAUAUAAUUUUUCCCCUGUAAUAUAGCAAAGAUCAAGAAAAAGCCAAAAAAAGUAUAUUUAGGUCAAAAUUUGGAGUAGAAAAAAAAACAAUAGAAGAAUUCCAUUUUCCUUCCUCAGUCAUCGGAGAGCUCUCUUUCGGCUUUCCGAAAAGGUAUCAAAUGCCAAGUUUGGCCUCACGGUCUAAAAGUUAUAGAGUCAUACAUUUUUAACAAUACAAAGUAGAGAAAACCGGAAAAAAGAGGGAUGCAACAUGAGGACUUUCCGGGAGGUAAUCCAUCCUAGUACAACUCUUGCCCAAGCACCCUUAACUGCGGAGUUCUGAUGGAAUCCGGUGCAUUAGUGCUGGUAUGAUCGCAUCUGUUACUACAUGCAAUGUAAUCGUAUCUAUUUUUUUUUAAAGACUUUAUGAUCCAUUUGCCGUGGGUCCCACCAGCUAUGUAGGAAUACCCUAUCUUCUUUAUAAGAGCUUUGAUACAUGCAAAAUAUAUGAAAAAACGUUCGAACAUAUAAUUUUUCCCCCCGUAAUAUAGCAAAGAUCACGAAAAGGCCCGAAAAAGUACAUUUAGUUCAAAAUUUGGAGUAGAAAAACCCAAUAGAAGAAUUCCAUUUUCCUUCGUCAUUCAUCGGAGAGCUCUCUUUGGGCUUUCCGAAAAGGUAUCACAUGCCAAGUUUGGCCUCACGGUCUAAAAGUUAUAGAGUCAUACAUUUUUAACAAAACAAAAUUGAGAAAAACCGAAAAAAGAGGGAUGCAACACGAGGACUCUCCAGAAGGUAACCCAUCUUAGUACUACUUUCGCCCAAGCACCCUUAACUGCGGAGUUCUGAUAGGACCCGGUGCAUUAGUGCUGGUAUGAUCGCAUGUGUUACUACAUGCAAUGUAAUCGUAUAUAUUCAUUUUUAAAGACUUUAUGAUCCAUUUGCCGUGGGUCCUACCAGCUAUGUAGAAAUACCCUAUCUUCUUUAUAAGAGCUUUCAUUCACGCAAAAUAAUGGAAAACAAUGUCCGAAGAUAUAAUUCCCCCCCCCCCCCCCCCGUAAUAUAGCAAAGAUCACGAAAAGGCCCGAAAAAGUACAUUAAGUUCAAAAUUUGGAGUAGAAAAAAAAACAAUAGAAGAAUUCCAUUUUCCUUCCUCAGUCAUCGGAGAGCUCUCUUUGGGCUUUCCGAAAAGGUAUCACAUGCCAAGUUUGGCCUCACGGUCUAAAGGUUAUAGAGUCAUACAUUUUUAACAAAAAAAAAUAGAAAAACAGAAAAAAGAGGGAUGCAAUACGAGGACUUUCCAGGAGGUCACCCAUCCUAGUACAACUCUCGCCGAAGCACGCUUAACUACGGUGUUCAGAUGGAAUCUGGUGCAUUAGUGCUGGUAUGAUGUCAUUUGUUACUACAUGCAAUGCAAUCAUAUCUAUUCUUAUUUAAAGACUUUAUGAUCCAUUUGCCGUGGGUCCCACCUGUAGGAAUACCCUAUCUUGUUUAUAAAAGAUUUGAUACAUGCAAAAUACUCGAAAACAAUGUCCGAACAUAUAAUUUUCACCCCGUAAUAUAGCAAAGAUCACGAAAAGGCCCGAAAAAGUACAUUAAAGUCAAAAUUUGGAGUAGAAAAAAACCCAAUAGAAGUAUUCCAUUCUCCUUCGUCAUUCAUCGGAGAGCUCUCUUUAGGCUUUCCGAAAAGAUAUCACAUGCCAAGUUUGGCCUCACGGUUUAAAAGUUAUAGAGUCAUAGAUUUUUAACAAAACAAAAAGAGAAAAACCGAAAAAAAAUUGGGAUGCAACACGAGGACUUUCCUGGAGGUCACCCAUCCUAGUACUACUCUUGCCCAAGCACCCUUAACUGCGUAGUUCUGAUGGGAUCCGAUGCUUUAGGGCUGGUAUGAUCGCAUCUGUUACUACAUGCAAUGUAAUCGUAUCUAUUCUUUUUUAAAGACUUUAUGAUCCAUUUGCCGUGGGUCCCACCAGCUAUGUAGGAAUACCCUAUCUUCUUUAUAAGAGCUUUGAUAAAUGCAAAAUAUUGGAAAGCAAUGUCCGAACAUAUAAUUUCGCCCCCGUAAUAUAGCAAAGAUCACGAAAAAGCCCAAAAAAGUUCAUUUAGGUCAAAAUUUGAGCAGAAGAAAAAGAAAUAGAAGAAUUCCAUUUUCCUUCCUCAUUUAUUGGAGAGCUCUCUUUGGGCUUUCCGAAAAGGUAUCACAUGCCAAGUUUGGCCUCACGGUCUAAAAGUUAUAGAGUCAUACAGUUUUAACAAAAUGAAAUAGAGAAAAACCGAAAAAAAGAGGGAUGUAACACGAGGACUUUCCGGGAGGUAAUCUAUCCUACUACUACUCUCGGCCAAGCACCCUUAACUGCGGAGUUCUAAUGGGAUCCGGUGCAUUAGUGCUAGUAUGAUCGCAUGUGUUACUACAUGCAAUGUAAUCGUAUCUAUUCUUUUUUAAAGACUUUAUGAUCCAUUUGCCGUGGGUCCCACCAGCUAUGUAGGAAUACCCUAUCUUCUUUAUAAGAGCUUUGAUACAUGCAAAAUAUAUGAAAAAAACGUCCGAACAUAUAAUUUUCCCCCCGUAAUAUAGCAAAGAUCAUGAAAAGGCCCAAAAAAGUACAUUAAUGUCAAAAUUUGGCGUAGAAAAAAAACCAAUAGACAUAUUCCAUUGUCCUUCAUCAUUCAUUGAAGAGCUCUCUUUGGGCUUUCCGAAAAGGUAUCACAUGCCAAGUUUGGCCUCACGGUCUAAAAGUUAUAGAGUCAUACAUUUUUAACAAUACAAAAUAGAGAAAAACCGAAAAAAAGAGGGAUGCAACACGAGGACUUUCCGGGAGGUAAUCCAUCCUAGUACUACUCUCGCCCAAGCACCCUUAACUGCGGAGUUCUGAUGGGACCCGGUGCAUUAGUGCUGGUAUGAUCGCAUCUGUUACUAUAUGCAAUGUAAUCGUAUCUAUUCUUUUUUAAAGACUUUAUGAUCCAUUUGCCGUGGGUCCCACCAGCUAUGUAGGAAUACCCUAUCUUCUUUAUAAGAGCUUUGAUAUAUGCAAAAUAUUGGAACACCAUGUCCGAACAUAUAAUUUUUCCCGUGUAAUAUAGCAAAGAUCAAGAAAAAGACAAAAGAGUACAUUUAGGUCAAAAUUUGAGUAGAAAAAAACAAAUAGAAGAAUUCCAUUUUCCUUCCUCAUUCAGCUGAGAGCUCUCUUUGGGCUUUCCGAAAAGGUAUCAUAUGCCAAGUUUGGCCUCACAGUGUAAAAGUUAUAGAGUCUAACAUUUUUAACAAAACAAAAUAGAGAAAAACCAAAAAAAGAGGGAUGCAACACGAGGACUUUCUGGGAGGUCACCCAUCCUAGUACUACUCUCGCCCAAGCACCCUUAACUGCGGAGUUCUGAUGGGAUCCGGUGCAUUAGUGCAGGUAUGAUCGCAUGUGUUACUACAUGCAAUGUAAUCCUAUCUAUUCUUUCUUAAAGACUUUAUGAUCCAUUUGCCGUGAGUCCCACCAGCUAUGUAGGAAUACCCUAUCUUCUUUAUAAGAGCUUUGAUACAUGCAAAAUAUUGGAAAACAAUAUCCGAACAUAUAGUUUUCCCCCCGUAAUAUAGCAAAGAUCACGAAAAGGCCCGAAAAAGUACAUUUAGUUCAAAAUUGGGAGUAGAAAAAAAAACAAUAGAAGAAUUCCAUUUUACUUCCUCAGUCAUCGGAGAGCUCUCUUUGGGCUUUCCGAAAAGGUAUCACAUGCCCAGUUUGGCCUCACGGUCUAAAAGUUAUAAAGUCAUACAUUUUUAACAAAAACAAAAGAGAAAAACCGAAAAAAAAGAGGGAUGCAAUACGAGGACUUUCCACGAGGUCACCCAUCCUAGUACAACUCUCGCCGAAGCAUGCUUAACUGCGGAGUUUAGAUGGGAUCUGGUGCAUUAGUGCUGGUAUGAUCGCAUCUGUUACUACAUGCAAUGCAAUCGUAUCUAUUCUUAUUUAAAGACUUUAUCAUCCAUUUGCCAUGGGUCCCACCUGUAGGAAUACCCAAUCUUGUUUAUAAGAGCUUUGAUACAUGCAAAAUAUUCGAAAACAACGUCCGAACAUAUAAUUUUCGCCCCGUAAUAUAGCAAAGAUCACGAAAAGGCCCGAAAAAGUACAUUAAGGUCAAAAUUUGGAAUAGAAAAAAAAACCAAUAGAAGUAUUCCAUUGUCCUUUGUCAUUCAUCGAAGAGCUCUCUUUGGGCUUUCCGAAAAGGUAUCGCAAGCCAAGUUUGGCCUCACGGUUUAAAAGUUAUAAAGUCAUACAUUUUUAACAAAAAAAAAAAGAGAAAAAACCGAAAAAAAGAGGGAUGCAACACGAGGACUUUUCUGGAGGUCACCCAUCCUAAUACUUCUCUCGCCCGAUCACCCUUAACUACGUAGUUUUGAUGGGAUUCGAUGCAUUAGUGCUGGUAUGAUCGCAUCUGUUACUACAUGCAAUGUAAUCGUAUCUAUUCUUUUUUAAAGACUUUAUGAUCCAUUUGCCGUGGGUCCCACCAGCUAUGUAGGAAUACCCUAUCUUCUUUAUAAGAGCUUUGAUAUAUGCAAAAUAUUGGAAAACCAUGUCCGAACAUAUAAUUUUUCCCCUGUAAUAUAGCAAAGAUCAAGAAAAAGCCAAAAAAGUAUAUUUAGGUCAAAAUUUGGAGUAGAAAAAAAAACAAUAGAAGAAUUCCAUUUUCCUUCCUCAGUCAUCGGAGAGCUCUCUUUGGGCUUUCCGAAAAGGUAUCAAAUGCCAAGUUUGGCCUCACGGUCUAAAAGUUAUAGAGUCAUACAUUUUUAACAAUACAAAGUAGAGAAAACCGGAAAAAAGAGGGAUGCAACAUGAGGACUUUCCGGGAGGUAAUCCAUCCUAGUACAACUCUUGCCCAAGCACCCUUAACUGCGGAGUUCUGAUGGAAUCCGGUGCAUUAGUGCUGGUAUGAUCGCAUGUGUUACUACAUGCAAUGUAAUCGUAUCUAUUCUUUUUUAAAGACUUUAUGAUCCAUUUGCCGUGGGUCCCACCAGCUAUGUAGGAAUACCCUAUCUUCUUUAUAAGAGCUUUGAUACAUGCAAAAUAUAUGAAAAAACGUUCGAACAUAUAAUUUUUCCCCCCGUAAUAUAGCAAAGAUCACGAAAAGGCCCGAAAAAGUACAUUUAGUUCAAAAUUUGGAGUAGAAAAACCCAAUAGAAGAAUUCCAUUUUCCUUCGUCAUUCAUCGGAGAGCUCUCUUUGGGCUUUCCGAAAAGGUAUCACAUGCCAAGUUUGGCCUCACGGUCUAAACGUUAUAGAGUCAUACAUUUUUAACAAAACAAAAUUGAGAAAAACCGAAAAAAAGAGGGAUGCAACACGAGGACUCUCCAGAAGGUAACCCAUCUUAGUACUACUUUCGCCCAAGCACCCUUAACUGCGGAGUUCUGAUAGGACCCGGUGCAUUAGUGCUGGUAUGAUCGCAUGUGUUACUACAUGCAAUGUAAUCGUAUAUAUUCAUUUUUAAAGACUUUAUGAUCCAUUUGCCGUGGGUCCUACCAGCUAUGUAGAAAUACCCUAUCUUCUUUAUAAGAGCUUUCAUUCACGCAAAAUAAUGGAAAACAAUGUCCGAAGAUAUAAUUUCCCCCCCCCCCCGUAAUAUAGCAAAGAUCACGAAAAGGCCCGAAAAAGUACAUUAAGUUCAAAAUUUGGAGUAGAAAAAAAAACAAUAGAAGAAUUCCAUUUUCCUUCCUCAGUCAUCGGAGAGCUCUCUUUGGGCUUUCCGAAAAGGUAUCACAUGCCAAGCUUGGCCUCACGGUCUAAAGGUUAUAGAGUCAUACAUUUUUAACAAAAAAAAAAUAGAAAAACAGAAAAAAGAGGGAUGCAAUACGAGGACUUUCCAGGAGGUCACCCAUCCUAGUACAACUCUCGCCGAAGCACGCUUAACUACGGUGUUCAGAUGGAAUCUGGUGCAUUAGUGCUGGUAUGAUGUCAUUUGUUACUACAUGCAAUGCAAUCAUAUCUAUUCUUAUUUAAAGACUUUAUGAUCCAUUUGCCGUGGGUCCCACCUGUAGGAAUACCCUAUCUUGUUUAUAAAAGAUUUGAUACAUGCAAAAUACUCGAAAACAAUGUCCGAACAUAUAAUUUUCACCCCGUAAUAUAGCAAAGAUCACGAAAAGGCCCGAAAAAGUACAUUAAAGUCAAAAUUUGGAGUAGAAAAAAACCCAAUAGAAGUAUUCCAUUCUCCUUCGUCAUUCAUCGGAGAGCUCUCUUUAGGCUUUCCGAAAAGAUAUCACAUGCCAAGUUUGGCCUCACGGUUUAAAAGUUAUAGAGUCAUAGAUUUUUAACAAAACAAAAAGAGAAAAACCGAAAAAAAUUGGGAUGCAACACGAGGACUUUCCUGGAGGUCACCCAUCCUAGUACUACUCUCGCCCAAGCACCCUUAACUGCGUAGUUCUGAUGGGAUCCGAUGCUUUAGUGCUGGUAUGAUCGCAUCUGUUACUACAUGCAAUGUAAUCGUAUCUAUUCUUUUUUAAAGACUUUAUGAUCCAUUUGCCGUGGGUCCCACCAGCUAUGUAGGAAUACCCUAUCUUCUUUAUAAGAGCUUUGAUAAAUGCAAAAUAUUGGAAACCAAUGUCCGAACAUAUAAUUUCGCCCCCGUAAUAUAGCAAAGAUCACGAAAAAGCCCAAAAAAGUUCAUUUAGGUCAAAAUUUGAGCAGAAGAAAAAGAAAUAGAAGAAUUCCAUUUUCCUUCCUCAUUUAUUGGAGAGCUCUCUUUGGGCUUUCCGAAAAGGUAUCACAUGCCAAGUUUGGCCUCACGGUCUAAAAGUUAUAGAGUCAUACAUUUUUAACAAAAUGAAAUAGAGAAAAACCGAAAAAAAGAGGGAUGUAACACGAGGACUUUCCGGGAGGUAAUCUAUCCUACUACUACUCUCGGCCAAGCACCCUUAACUGCGGAGUUCUAAUGGGAUCCGGUGCAUUAGUGCUGGUAUGAUCGCAUGUGUUACUACAUGCAAUGUAAUCGUAUCUAUUCUUUUUUAAAGACUUUAUGAUCCAUUUGCCGUGGGUCCCACCAGCUAUGUAGGAAUACCCUAUUUUCUUUAUAAGAGCUUUGAUACAUGCAAAAUAUUGGAAAACAAUGUCCGAACAUAUUAUUUUCCCCCCGUAAUAUAGCAAAGAUCACGAAAAGGCCCGAAAAAGUACAUUUAGUUCAAAAUGUGGAGUAGAAAAAAAAACAAUAGAAGAAUUCCAUUUUCCUUCGUCAUUCAUCGGAGAGCUCUCUUUAGGCUUUCCGAAAAGGUAUCACAUGCCAAGUUUGGCCUCACGGUCUAAAAGUUAUAGAAUCAUACAUUUUUAACAAAACAAAAUAGAGAAAAACCGAAAAAGAGGGAUUUAACACGAGGACUUUCCGAGAGGUAACCCAUCCUAGUACUACUCUCGUCCAAGCACCCUUAACUGCGGAGUUCUGAUGGGAUCCGGUGUAUUAGUGCUGGUAUGAUCGCAUGUGUUACUACAUGCAAUGUAAUCGUAUCUAUUCUUUUUUAAAGACUUUAUAAUCCAUUUGCCGUGGGUCCCACCAGCUAUGUAGGAAUACCCUAUUUUCUUUAUAAGAGCUUUGAUACAUGCAAAAUAUUAGAAAACAAUGUCCGAACAUAUUAUUUUCCCCCCGUUAUAUAGCAAAGAUCACGAAAAGGCCCGAAAAAGUACAUUUAGUUCAAAAUUUGGAGUAGAAAAAAAAACAAUAGAAGAAUUCCAUUUUCCUUCGUCAUUCAUCGGAGAGCUCUCUUUAGGCUUUCCGAAAAGGUAUCACAUGCCAAGUUUGGCCUCACGGUCUAAAAGUUAUAGAGUCAUACAUUUUUAACAAAACAAAAUAGAGAAAAACCGAAAAAAGAGGGAUUUAACACGAGGACUUUCUGAGAGGUAACCCAUCCGAGUACUACACUCGCCCAAGCACCCUUAACUACGGAGUUCUGAUGGGAUACGGUGCAUUAGUGCUGGUUUGAUCGCAUCUGUUACUACAUGCAAUGUAAUCGUAUCUAUUCUUUUUUAAAGACUUUAUGAUCCAUUUGCCGUGGGUGCCACCAACUAUGUAGGAUUAUCCUAUAUUCUUUAUAAGAGCUUUGAUACAUGAAAAAUAUUCGAAAACAAUGUCCGAACAUAUAAUUUCCACCCGUAAUAUAGCAAAGAUCACGAAAAGGCCCAAAAAAGUACAUUAAGUUUAAAAUUUGGAGUAGAAAAAAAACCAAUAGAAGAAUUCCAUUUUCCUUCCUCAGUCAUCGGAGAGCUCUCUUUGGGCUUUCCGAAAAGGUAUCACAUGCCAAGUUUGACCUCACGGUCUAAAGGUUAUAGAGUCAUACAUUUUUAACAAAAAAAAAUAGAAAAACAGGAAAAAAGAGGGAUGCAAUACGAGGACUUUCCAGGAGGUCACCCAUCCUAGUACAACUCUCGCCGAAGCACGCUUAACUGCGGUGUUCAGAUGGGAUCUGGUGCAUUAGUGCUCGUAUGAUGGCAUUUGUUACUACAUGCAAUGCAAUCGUAUCUACUCUUAUUUAAAGACUUUAUGAUCCAUUUGCCGUGGGUGCCACCAACUAUGUAGGAUUAUCCUAUAUUCUUUAUAAGAGCUUUGAUACAUGCAAAAUAUUCGAAAGCAAUGUCCGAACAUAUAAUUUCCCCCCCGUAAUAUAGCAAAGAUCACGAAAAGGCCCGAAAAAGUACAUUUAGUUCAAAAUUUGGAGUAGAAAAAAAAACAAUAGAAGAAUUCCAUUUUCCUUCGUCAUUCAUCGGAGAGCUCUCUUUAGGCUUUCCGAAAAGGUAUCACAUGCCAAGUUUGGCCUCACGGUCUAAAAGUUAUAGAGUCAUACAUUUUCAACAAAACAAAAUAGAGAAACACCGAAAAAAGAGGGAUUUAACACGAGGACUUUCCGAGAGGUAACCCAUCCUAGUACUACUCUCGUCCAAGCACCCUUAACUGCGGAGUUCUGAUGGGAUCCGGUGCAUUAGUGCUGGUAUGAUCGCAUGUGUUACUACAUGCAAUGUAAUCAUAUCUAUUCUUUUUUUAAAGACUUUAUGAUUCAUUUGCCGUGGGUCCCACCAGCUAUGUAGGAAUACCCUAUUUUCUUUAUAACAGCUUUGAUACAUGCAAAAUAUUGGAAAACAAUGUCCGAACAUAUUAUUUUCCUCCCGUAAUAUAGCAAAGAUCACGAAAAGGCCCGAAAAAGUACAUUUAGUUCAAAAUUUGGAGUAGAAAAAAAAACAAUAGAAGAAUUCCAUUUUCCUUCGUCAUUCAUCGGAGAGCUCUCUUUAGGCUUUCCGAAAAGGUAUCACAUGCCAAGUUUGGCCUCACGGUCUAAAAGUAUAGAGUCAUACAUUUUUAAAAAAACAAAAUAGAGAAAAACCGAAAAAAGAGGGAUUUAACACGAGGACUUUCCGAGAGGUAACCCAUCCUAGUACUACUCUCGUCCAAGCACCCUUAACUGCGGAGUUCUAAUGGGAUCUGGUGCAUUAGUGCUGGUAUGAUCGCAUGUGUUACUACAUGCAAUGUAAUCGUAUCUAUUCUUUUUUAAAGACUUUAUGAUCCAUUUGCCGUGGGUCCCACCAGCUAUGUAGGAAUACCCUAUUUUCUUUAUAAGAGCUUUGAUACAUGCAAAAUAUUGGAAAACAAUGUCCGAACAUAUUAUUUUCCCCCCGUUAUAUAGCAAAGAUCACGAAAAGGCCCGAAAAAGUACAUUUAGUUCAAAAUUUGGAGUAGAAAGAAAAACAAUAGAAGAAUUCCAUUUUCCUUCGUCAUUCAUCUGAGAGCUCUCUUUAGGCUUUCCGAAAAGGUAUCACAUGCCAAGUUUGGCCUCACGGUCUAAAAGUUAUAGAGUCAUACAUUUUUAACAAAACAAAAUAGAGAAAAACCGAAAAAGAGGGAUUUAAGACGAGGACUUUCUGAGAGGUAACCCAUCCGAGUACUACACUCGCCCAAGCACCCUUAACUACGGAGUUCUGAUGGGAUACGGUGCAUUAGUGCUGGUUUGAUCGCAUGUGUUACUACAUGCAAUGUAAUCGUAUCUAUUCUUUUUUAAAGACUUUAUGAUCCAUUUGCCGUGGGUGCCACCAACUAUGUAGGAUUAUCCUAUAUUCUUUAUAAGAUCUUUGAUACUUGCAAAAUAUUCGAAAAAAAUGUCCGAACAUAUAAUUUCCCCCCCGUAAUAUAGCAAAGAUCACGAAAAGGCCCAAAAAAGUACAUUAAGUUUAAAAUUUGGAGUAGAAAAAAAACCAAUAGAAGAAUUCCAUUUUCCUUCCUCAGUCAUCGGAGAGCUCUCUUUGGGCUUUCCGAAAAGUUAUCACAUGCCAAGUUUGACCUCACGGUCUAAAGGUUAUAGAGUCAUACAUUUUUAACAAAAAAAAAUAGAAAAACAGGAAAAAAGAGGGAUGCAAUACGAGGACUUUCCAGCAGGUCACCCAUCCUAGUACAACUCUCGCCAAAGCACGCUUAACUGCGGUGUUCAGAUGGGAUCUGGUGCAUUAGUGCUUGUAUGAUGGCAUUUGUUACUACAUGCAAUGCAAUCGUAUCGAUUCUUAUUUAAAGACUUUAUGAUCCAUUUGUCGUGGGUGCCACCUGUAGGAAUACCCUAUCUUGUUUAUAAGAGAUUUGAUACAUGCAAAAUAUUCGAAAACAAUGUCCGAACAUAUAAUUUUUGCCCCGUAAUAUAGAAAAGAUCACAAAAAAGUCCAAAAAAGUACAUUUAGGUCAAAAUUUGAGCAGAAAAAAAAGAAAUAGAAGAAUUCCAUUUUCCUUCGUCAUUCAUCGGAGAGCUCUCUUUAGGCUUUCCGAAAAGAUAUCACAUGCCAAGUUUGGCCUCACGGUCUAAAAGUUAUAGAGUCAUACAUUUUUCACAAAACAAAAAGAGAAAAACCGAAAAAAAUAGGGAUGCAACACGAGGACUUUCCUGGAGGUCACCCAUCCUAGUACUAAUCUCGCCCAAGCACCCUUAACUGCGUAGUUCUGAUGGGAUCCGAUGCAUUAGUCCUGGUAUGAUCGCAUCUGUUACUAUAUGCAAUAUAAUCGUAUCUAUUCUUUUUUAAAGACUUUAUGAUCCAUUUGCCGUGGGUCCCACCAGCUAUGUAGGAUACCCUAUCUUCAUAAUAAGAGCUUUGAUAAAUGCAAAAUAUUGGAAAACAAUGUCCGAACAUAUAAUUUCCCCCCCCCCCCCCGUAAUAUAGCAAAGAUCACGAAAAAGCCCAAAAAAGUACAUUUAGGUCAAAAUUUGAGUAGAAAAAAAAACAAAUAGAGGAAUUCCAUUUUCCGUCCUCAUUCAUCGGAGAGCUCUCUUUCGGCUUUCCGAAAAGGUAUCACAUGCCAAGUUUGGCCUCACGGUCUAAAAGUUAUAGAGUCAUACAUUUUUAACAAAACAAAAUAGAGAAAAACCGAAAAAAAGAAGGAUGCAACACGAGGACUUCCCGGGAGGUCACCCAUCCUAGUACUACUCUCGCCUAAGCACCCUUAACUGCGGAGUUCUGAUGGGAUCAGGUGCAUUAGUGCUGGUAUGAUCGCAUGUGGUACUACAUGCAAUGUAAUCGUAUCUAUUCCUUUUGAAAGACUUUAUGAUCCAUUUGCCGUGGGUCCCACCAGCUAUGUAGGAAUACCCUAUCUUCUUUAUAAGAGCUUUGAUACAUGCAAAAUAUUUGAAAACAAUGUCCGAACAUAUAAUUUUCCCCCCGUUAUAUAGCAAAGAUCACGAAAAGGCCCAAAAAAGUACAAUUAGUUCAAAAUUUGGAGUAGAAAAAAAAACAAUAGAAGAAUUCCAUUUUCCUUCCUCAGUCAUCGGAGAGCUCUCUUUGGGCUUUCCAAAAAGGUAUCACAUGCCAAGUUUGGCCUCACAGUCUAAAAGUUAUAGAGUCAUACAUUUUUAACAAAACAAAAUAGAGAAAAACCGAAAAAAAGAGGGAUGCAACACGAGGACUUUCCGGGAGGUAACCCAUCCUAGUACUACUCUCGCCCAAGCACCCUUAACUGCGGAGUUUUGAUGGGAUCCGGUGCAUUAGUGUUGGUAUGAUCGCAUGUGUUACUACAUGCAAUGUAAUCGUAUCUAUUCCUUUUGAAAGACUUUAUGAUCCAUUUGCCGUGGGUCCCACCAGCUAUGUAGGAAUACCCUAUCUUCUUUAUAAGAGCUUUGAUACAUACAAAAUAUUGGAUCACAAUGUCAUAACAUAUAAUUUUCCCCCCUUAAUAUAGCAAAGAUCACGAAAAGGCCCGAAAAAAUACAUUUAGUUCAAAAUUUGGAGUAGAAAAAAAAAAUAUAAGAAUUCCAUUUUCCUUCCUCUGUUAUCGGAGAGCUCUCUUUGGGCUUUCCGAAAAGGUAUCACAUGCCAAGUUUGGCCUCACGGUCUAAAAGAUAUAAAGUCAUACAUUAUUAACAAAACAAAAUAGAGAAAAACCGAAAAAAAGAAGGAUGCAACACGAGGACUUUCCGGGAGGUAAUCUAUCCUAGUACUACUCUCGCCCAAGCACCCUUAACUGCGGAGUUCUGAUGGGAUCCGGUGCAUUAGUGUUGGUAUGAUCGCAUGUGUUACUACAUGCAAUGUAACCGUAUCUAUUCUUUUUUAAAGACUUUAUGAUCCAUUUGCCGUGGGUCCCACCAGCUAUGUAGGAAUAUUCUAUCUUCUUUAUAAGAGCUUUGAUACAUGCAAAAUAUUGGAAAACAACGUCCGAACAUAUAAUUUCCCCCCCCCCCCGUAAUAUAGCAAAAAUCACGAAAAGGCCCGAAAAAGUACAUUUAGUUCAAAAUUUGCAGUAGAAAAAAAAACAAUAGAAGAAUUUCAUUUUCCUUCCUCAGUCAUCGGAGAGCUCUCUUUGGGCUUUCCAAAAAGGUAUCACAUGCCAAGUUUGGCCUCACAGUCUAAAAGUUAUAGAGUCAUACAUUUUUAACAAAACAAAAUAGAGAAAAACCGAAAAAAGAGGGAUGCAACACGAGGACUUUCCCGGAGGUAAUCUAUCCUAGUACUACUCUCGCCCAAGCACCCUUAACUGCGGAGUUCUGAUGGGAUCCGGUGCAGUAGUGCUGGUAUGAUCGCAUGUGUUACUACAUGCAAUGUAAUCGUAUCUAUUCUUUUUUAAAGACUUUAUGAUCCAUUUGCCGUGAGUCCCACCAGCUAUGUAGGAAUAUUCUAUCUUCUUUAUAAGAGCUUUGAUACAUGCAAAAUACUGGAAAACAAUGUCCGAACAUAUAAUUUUCCCCACGUAAUAUAGCAAAGAUCACGAAAAGGCCCGAAAAAGUACAUUUAGUUCAAAAUUUGGAGUAGAAAAAAAAACAAUAGAAGAAUUUCAUUUUCCUUCCCUAGUCAUCGGAGAGCUCUCUUUGGGCUUUCCAAAAAGGUAUCACAUGCCAAGUUUGGCCUCACAGUCUAAAAGUUAUAGAGUCAUACAUUUUUAACAAAACAAAAUAGAGAAAAACCGAAAAAAAAGAGGGAUGCAACACGAGGACUUUCUGGGAGGUAAUCUAUCCUAGUACUACUCUCGCCCAAGCACCCUUAACUGCGGAGUUCUGAUGGGAUCCGGUGCAGUAGUGCUGGUAUGAUCGCAUGUGUUACUACAUGCAAUGUAAUCGUAUCUAUUCUUUUUUAAAGACUUUAUGAUCCAUUUGCCGUGAGUCCCACCAGCUAUGUAGGAAUAUUCUAUCUUCUUUAUAAGAGCUUUGAUACAUGCAAAAUACUGGAAAACAAUGUCCGAACAUAUAAUUUUCCCCCCGUAAUAUAGCAAAGAUCACGAAAAGGCCCAGAAAAGUACAUUUAGUUCAAAAUUUGGAGUAGAAAAAAAAACAAUAGAAGAAUUCCAUUUUCCUUCCUCAAUCAUCGGAGAGCUCUCUUUGGGCUUUCCGAAAAGGUAUCUCAUGCCAAGUUUGGCCUCACGAACUAAAAGUUAUAGAGUCAUACAUUUUUAACAAAACAAAAUAGAGAAAAACCGAAAAAAGAGGGAUGCAACACAAGGACUUUCCGGGAGGUCACCCAUCCUAGUACUACUCUCGCCCAAGCACCCUUAACUGCGGAGUUCUGAUGGGAUCCAGUGCAUUAGUGCUGGUAUGAUCGCAUGUGUUACUACAUGCAAUGUAAUCGUAUCUAUUCUUUUUUAAAGAUUUUAUGAUCCAUUUGCCGUGGGUCCCACCAGCUAUGUAGGAAUACCCUAUCUUCUUUAUAAGAGCUUUGAUACAUACAAAAUAUUGGAUCACAAUGUCAGAACAUAUAAUUUUCCCCCCUUAAUAUAGCAAAGUUCACUAAAAGGCCCGAAAAAAUACAUUUAGUUCAAAAUUUGGAGUAGAAAAAAAAACAAUAGAAGAAUUUCAUUUUCCUUCCUCAGUCAUCGGAGAGCUCUCUUUGGGCUUUCCAAAAAGGUAUCACAUGCCAAGUUUGGCCUCACAGUCUAAAAGUUAUAGAGUCAUACAUUUUUAACAAAACAAAAUAGAGAAAAACCGAAAAAAGAGGGAUGCAACACGAGGACUUUCCCGGAGGUAAUCUAUCCUAGUACUACUCUCGCCCAAGCACCCUUAACUGCGGAGUUCUGAUGGGAUCCGGUGCAGUAGUGCUGGUAUGAUCGCAUGUGUUACUACAUGCAAUGUAAUCGUAUCUAUUCUUUUUUAAAGACUUUAUGAUCCAUUUGCCGUGAGUCCCACCAGCUAUGUAGGAAUAUUCUAUCUUCUUUAUAAGAGCUUUGAUACAUGCAAAAUACUGGAAAACAAUGUCCGAACAUAUAAUUUUCCCCACGUAAUAUAGCAAAGAUCACGAAAAGGCCCGAAAAAGUACAUUUAGUUCAAAAUUUGGAGUAGAAAAAAAAACAAUAGAAGAAUUUCAUUUUCCUUCCUCAGUCAUCGGAGAGCUCUCUUUGGGCUUUCCAAAAAGGUAUCACAUGCCAAGUUUGGCCUCACAGUCUAAAAGUUAUAGAGUCAUACAUUUUUAACAAAACAAAAUAGAGAAAAACCGAAAAAAAAGAGGGAUGCAACACGAGGACUUUCUGGGAGGUAAUCUAUCCUAGUACUACUCUCGCCCAAGCACCCUUAACUGCGGAGUUCUGAUGGGAUCCGGUGCAGUAGUGCUGGUAUGAUCGCAUGUGUUACUACAUGCAAUGUAAUCGUAUCUAUUCUUUUUUAAAGACUUUAUGAUCCAUUUGCCGUGAGUCCCACCAGCUAUGUAGGAAUAUUCUAUCUUCUUUAUAAGAUCUUUGAUACAUGCAAAAUACUGGAAAACAAUGUCCGAACAUAUAAUUUUCCCCCCGUAAUAUAGCAAAGAUCACGAAAAGGCCCAGAAAAGUACAUUUAGUUCAAAAUUUGGAGUAGAAAAAAAAACAAUAGAAGAAUUCCAUUUUCCUUCCUCAAUCAUCGGAGAGCUCUCUUUGGGCUUUCCGAAAAGGUAUCUCAUGCCAAGUUUGGCCUCACGAACUAAAAGUUAUAGAGUCAUACAUUUUUAACAAAACAAAAUAGAGAAAAACCGAAAAAAGAGGGAUGCAACACAAGGACUUUCCGGGAGGUCACCCAUCCUAGUACUACUCUCGCCCAAGCACCCUUAACUGCGGAGUUCUGAUGGGAUCCAGUGCAUUAGUGCUGGUAUGAUCGCAUGUGUUACUACAUGCAAUGUAAUCGUAUCUAUUCUUUUUUAAAGAUUUUAUGAUCCAUUUGCCGUGGGUCCCACCAGCUAUGUAGGAAUACCCUAUCUUCUUUAUAAGAGCUUUGAUACAUACAAAAUAUUGGAUCACAAUGUCAGAACAUAUAAUUUUCCCCCCUUAAUAUAGCAAAGUUCACUAAAAGGCCCGAAAAAAUACAUUUAGUUCAAAAUUUGGAGUAGAAAAAAAAACAAUAGAAGAAUUUCAUUUUCCUUCCUCAGUCAUCGGAGAGCUCUCUUUGGGCUUUCCAAAAAGGUAUCACAUGCCAAGUUUGGCCUCACAGUCUAAAAGUUAUAGAGUCAUACAUUUUUAACAAAACAAAAUAGAGAAAAACCGAAAAAAAGAGGGAUGCAACACGAGGACUUUCUGGGAGGUAAUCUAUCCUAGUACUACUCUCGCCCAAGCACCCUUAACUGCGGAGUUCUGAUGGGAUCCGGUGCAGUAGUGCUGGUAUGAUCGCAUGUGUUACUACAUGCAAUGUAAUCGUAUCUAUUCUUUUUUAAAGACUUUAUGAUCCAUUUGCCGUGAGUCCCACCAGCUAUGUAGGAAUAUUCUAUCUUCUUUAUAAGAGCUUUGAUACAUGCAAAAUACUGGAAAACAAUGUCCGAACAUAUAAUUUUCCCCCCGUAAUAUAGCAAAGAUCACGAAAAGGCCCGAAAAAGUACAUUUAGUUCAAAAUUUGGAGUAGAAAAAAAAACAAUAGAAGAAUUCCAUUUUCCUUCCUCAAUCAUCGGAGAGCUCUCUUUGGGCUUUCCGAAAAGGUAUCUCAUGCCAAGUUUGGCCUCACGAACUAAAAGUUAUAGAGUCAUACAUUUUUAACAAAACAAAAUAGAGAAAAACCGAAAAAAGAGGGAUGCAACACAAGGACUUUCCGGGAGGUCACCCAUCCUAGUACUACUCUCGCCCAAGCACCCUUAACUGCGGAGUUCUGAUGGGAUCCAGUGCAUUAGUGCUGGUAUGAUCGCAUGUGUUACUACAUGCAAUGUAAUCGUAUCUAUUCUUUUUUAAAGAUUUUAUGAUCCAUUUGCCGUGGGUCCCACCAGCUAUGUAGGAAUACCCUAUCUUCUUUAUAAGAGCUUUGAUACAUACAAAAUAUUGGAUCACAAUGUCAGAACAUAUAAUUUUCCCCCCUUAAUAUAGCAAAGUUCACUAAAAGGCCCGAAAAAAUACAUUUAGUUCAAAAUUUGGAGUAGAAAAAAAAACAAUAGAAGAAUUUCAUUUUCCUUCCUCAGUCAUCGGAGAGCUCUCUUUGGGCUUUCCAAAAAGGUAUCACAUGCCAAGUUUGGCCUCACAGUCUAAAAGUUAUAGAGUCAUACAUUUUUAACAAAACAAAAUAGAGAAAAACCGAAAAAAAGAGGGAUGCAACACGAGGACUUUCUGGGAGGUAAUCUAUCCUAGUACUACUCUCGCCCAAGCACCCUUAACUGCGGAGUUCUGAUGGGAUCCGGUGCAGUAGUGCUGGUAUGAUCGCAUGUGUUACUACAUGCAAUGUAAUCGUAUCUAUUCUUUUUUAAAGACUUUAUGAUCCAUUUGCCGUGAGUCCCACCAGCUAUGUAGGAAUAUUCUAUCUUCUUUAUAAGAGCUUUGAUACAUGCAAAAUACUGGAAAACAAUGUCCGAACAUAUAAUUUUCCCCCCGUAAUAUAGCAAAGAUCACGAAAAGGCCCGAAAAAGUACAUUUAGUUCAAAAUUUGGAGUAGAAAAAAAAACAAUAGAAGAAUUCCAUUUUCCUUCCUCAAUCAUCGGAGAGCUCUCUUUGGGCUUUCCGAAAAGGUAUCUCAUGCCAAGUUUGGCCUCACGAACUAAAAGUUAUAGAGUCAUACAUUUUUAACAAAACAAAAUAGAGAAAAACCGAAAAAAGAGGGAUGCAACACAAGGACUUUCCGGGAGGUCACCCAUCCUAGUACUACUCUCGCCCAAGCACCCUUAACUGCGGAGUUCUGAUGGGAUCCGGUGCAUUAGUGCUGGUAUGAUCGCCCGUGUUACUACAUGCAAUGCAAUCGUAUCUAUUCUUUUUUAAAGAUUUUAUGAUCCAUUUGCCGUGGGUCCCACCAGCUAUGUAGGAAUACCCUAUCUUCUUUAUAAGAGGUUUGAUACAUACAAAAUAUUGGAUCACAAUGUCAGAACAUAUAAUUUUCCCCCCUUAAUAUAGCAAAGAUCACUAAAAGGCCCGAAAAAAUACAUUUAGUUCAAAAUUUGGAGUAGAAAAAAAAACAAUAGAAGAAUUCCAUUUUCCUUCCUCAGUUAUCGGAGAACUCUCUUUGGGCUUUCCGAAAAGGUAUCACAUGCCAAGUUUGGCCUCACGGUCUAAAAGAUAUAGAGUCAUACAUUAUUAACAAAACAAAAUAGAGAAAAACCGAAAAAAAGAAGGAUGCAACACGAGGACUUUGCGGGAGGUAAUCUAUCCUAGUACUACUCUCGCCCAAGCACCCUUAACUGCGGAGUUCUGAUGGGAUCCGGUGCAUUAGUGCUGGUAUGAUCGCAUGUGUUACUACAUGCAAUGUAAUCGUAUCUAUUCUUUUUUAAAGACUUUAUGAUCCAUUUGCCGUGGGUCCNNNNNNNNNNNNNNNNNNNNNNNNNNNNNNNNNNNNNNNNNNNNNNNNNNACAUGCCAAGUUUGGCCUUACGGUCUAAAAGUUAUAGAGUAAUACANUUUUUAACAAAAAAAAAAGAAAAAAACCGAAAACAAAGAGGGAUGCAACACGAAGACUUUCCUGGAGGUCACCCAUCCUAGUACUACUCUCGCCCAAGCACACUUAACUGCGGUGUUCUGAUAGGAUCAAGUGCAUUAGUGCUGGUAUGAUCGCAUCAGUUACUACAUGCAAUGCAAUCAUAUAUAUUCUUUUUUGAAGACUUUAUGAUCCAUUUGCCGUAGGUCCCACCAGCUAUGUAGGAAUACCCUAUCUCGUUUAUAAGAGCUUUGAUACAUGCAAAAUAUUCGAAAACAAUGUCCGAACAUAUAAUUUUUGUCCCGUAAUAUAGCAAAGAUCGCGAAAAGGCCAUAAAAAAUACAUUUCGGUCAAAAUUUGGAGUAGAAAAAAAACCCUUCCUCAUUCAUUGGACAGCUCUCUUUGGGCUUUCCGAAAAGGUAUCACAUGCCAAGUUUGGCCUCACGGUCUAAACCUUAUAGACUCAUACAUUUUUCACAAAAAAAAGAAGAGAAAAACCAAAAAAAAGAGUGAUUAAACACGAGGACUUUCCUGGAGGUCACCCAUCCUAGUACUACUCUCGCCCAAGCACGCUUAACUGCGAAGUUCUGAUGGGAUCUGGUGCAUUAGUGCUGGUAUGAUCGCAUCUGUUACUACAUGCAAUGCAAUCGUAUUUAUUCUUUUUUGAAGAUUUUAUGAUUCAUUUACCGUGGGUCCCACCAGCUAUGUAGGAAUAACCUAUCUUAUUUAUAAAAGCUUUGAUACAUGCAAAAUAUUAGAAAACAAUGUCCGAACAUAUAAUGUUCGCCCCAAAAUAUAGCAAAGACCACAAAAAUGCCAUAAAAAGUACAUUAAGGUCAAAAUUUGGAGUAGGAAAAAAAUCAAUAGGAGAAUUCCAUUUUCCUUCCUUCAUUCAUCGGAGAGCUCUCUUUGGGCAUUCCAAAAAGGUAUCACAUGCCAAGUUUGGCCUCACGGUCUAAAAGUUAUAGAGUAAUACAUUUUUAACAAAAAAAAAAGAAAAAAACCGAAAACAAAGAGGGAUGCAACACGAAGACUUUCCUGGAGGUCACCCAUCCUAGUACUACUCUCGCCCAAGCACACUUAACUGCGGUGUUCUGAUAGGAUCAAGUGCAUUAGUGCUGGUAUGAUCGCAUCAGUUACUACAUGCAAUGCAAUCAUAUAUAUUCUUUUUUGAAGACUUUAUGAUCCAUUUGCCGUAGGUCCCACCAGCUAUGUAGGAAUACCCUAUCUCGUUUAUAAGAGCUUUGAUACAUGCAAAAUAUUCGAAAACAAUGUCCGAACAUAUAAUUUUUGUCCCGUAAUAUAGCAAAGAUCACGAAAAGGCCAGAAAAAAUACAUUUCGGUCAAAAUUUGGAGUAGAAAAAAAACCCUUCCUCAUUCAUUGGACAGCUCUUUUUGGGCUUUCCGAAAAGGUAUCACAUGCCAAGUUUGGCCUCACGGUCUAAACCUUAUAGACUCAUACAUUUUUCACAAAAAAAAGAAGAGAAAAACCAAAAAAAAGAGUGAUUAAACACGAGGACUUUCCUGGAGGUCACCCAUCCUAGUACUACUCUCGCCCAAGCACGCUUAACUGCGAAGUUCUGAUGGGAUCUGGUGCAUUAGUGCUGGUAUGAUCGCAUCUGUUACUACAUGCAAUGCAAUCGUAUCUAUUCUUUUUUGAAGAUUUUAUGAUUCAUUUACCGUGGGUCCCACCAGCUAUGUAGGAAUAACCUAUCUUAUUUAUAAAAGCUUUGAUACAUGCAAAAUAUUCGAAAACAAUGUCCGAACAUAUAAUGUUCGCCCCAAAAUAUAGCAAAGACCACAAAAAUGCCAUAAAAAGUACAUUAAGGUCAAAAUUUGGAGUAGGAAAAAAAUCAAUAGGAGAAUUCCAUUUUCCUUCCCUCAUUCAUCGGAGAGCUCUCUUUGGGCAUUCCAAAAAGGUAUCACAUGCCAAGUUUGGCCUCACGGUCUAAAAGUUAUAGAGUAAUACAUUUUUAACAAAAACAAAAGAAAAAAACCGAAAACAAAGAGGGAUGCAACACGAAGACUUUCCUGGAGGUCACCCAUCCUAGUACUACUCUCGCCCAAGUACACUUAACUGCGGUGUUCUGAUAGGAUCAAGUGCAUUAGUGCUGGUAUGAUCGCAUCAGUUACUACAUGCAAUGCAAUCAUAUAUAUUCUUUUUUGAAGACUUUAUGAUCCAUUUGCCGUAGGUCCCACCAGCUAUGUAGGAAUACCCUAUCUUGUUUAUAAGAGCUUUCAUACAUGCAAAAUAUUCAAAAACAAUGUCCGAACAUAUAAUUUUUGUCCCGUAAUAUAGCAAAGAUCACGAAAAGGCCAGAAAAAAUACAUUUCGGUCAAAAUUUGGAGUAGAAAAAAAACCCUUCCUCAUUCAUUGGACAGCUCUCUUUGGGCUUUCUGAAAAGGUAUCACAUGCCAAGUUUGGCCUCACGGUCUAAACCUUAUAGACUCAUACAUUUUUCACAAAAAAAAGAAGAGAAAAACCAAAAAAAAGAGUGAUUAAACACGAGGACUUUCCUGGAGGUCACCCAUCCUAGUACUACUCUCGCCCAAGCACGCUUCACUGCGAAGUUCUGAUGGGAUCUGGUGCAUUAGUGCUGGUAUGAUCGCAUCUGUUACUACAUGCAAUGCAAUCGUAUCUAUUCUUUUUUGAAGAUUUUAUGAUUCAUUUACCGUGGGUCCCACCAGAUAGGAAUAACCUAUCUUAUUUAUAAAAGCUUUGAUACAUGCAAAAUAUUCGAAAACAAUGUCCGAACAUAUAAUGUUCGCCCCAAAAUAUAGCAAAGACCACAAAAAUGCAAUAAAAAGUACAUUAAGGUCAAAAUUUGGAGUAGGAAAAAAAUCAAUAGGAGAAUUCCAUUUUCCUUCCCUCAUUUAUCGGAGAGCUCUCUUUGGGCAUUCCAAAAAGGUAUCACAUGCCAAGUUUGGCCUCACGGUCUAAAAGUUAUAGAGUAAUACAUUUUUAACAAAACAAAAAAGAAAAAAACCGAAAACAAAGAGGGAUGCAACACGAAGACUUUCCUGGAGGUCACCCAUCCUAGUACUACUCUCGCCCAAGCACACUUAACUGCGGUGUUCUGAUAGGAUCAAGUGCAUUAGUGCUGGUAUGAUCGCAUCAGUUACUACAUGCAAUGCAAUCAUAUAUAUUCUUUUUUGAAGACUUUAUGAUCCAUUUGCCGUAGGUCCCACCAGCUAUGUAGGAAUACCCUAUCUUGUUUAUAAGAGCUUUGAUACAUGCAAAAUAUACGAAAACAAUGUCCGAACAUAUAAUUUUUGUCCCGUAAUAUAGCAAAAAGGCCAGAAAAAAUACAUUUCGGUCAAAAUUUGGAGUAGAAAAAAAACCCUUCCUCAUUCAUUGGACAGCUCUCUUUGGGCUUUCCGAAAAGGUAUCACAUGCCAAGUUUGGCCUCACGGUCUAAACCUUAUAGGCUCAUACAUUUUUCACAAAAAAAAGAAAAGAAAAACCAAAAAAAAGAGUGAUUAAACACGAGGACUUUCCGGGAGGUCACCCAUCCUAGUACUACUCUCGCCGAAGCACGCUUAACUGCGAAGUUCUGAUGGGAUCUGGUGCAUUAGUGCUGGUAUGAUCGCAUCUGUUACUACAUGCAAUGCAAUCGUAUCUAUUCUUUUUUGAAGAUUUUAUGAUUCAUUUACCGUGGGUCCCACCAGCUAUGUAGGAAUAACCUAUCUUAUUUAUAAAAGCUUUGAUACAUGCAAAAUAUUCGAAAACAAUGUCCGAACAUAUAAUGUUCGCCCCAAAAUAUAGCAAAGACCACAAAAAUGCCAUAAAAAGUACAUUAAGGUCAAAAUUUGGAGUAGGAAAAAAAUCAAUAGGAGAAUUCCAUUUUCCUUCCCUCAUUCAUCGGAGAGCUCUCUUUGGGCAUUCCAAAAAGGUAUCACAUGCCAAGUUUGGCCUCACGGUCUAANAGUUAUAGAGUAAUACAUUUUUAACAAAAAAAAAAGAAAAAAACCGAAAACAAAGAGGGAUGCAACACGAAGACUUUCCUGGAGGUCACCCAUCCUAGUACUACUCUCGCCCAAGUACACUUAACUGCGGUGUUCUGAUAGGAUCAAGUGCAUUAGUGCUGGUAUGAUCGCAUCAGUUACUACAUGCAAUGCAAUCAUAUAUAUUCUUUUUUGAAGACUUUAUGAUCCAUUUGCCGUAGGUCCCACCAGCUAUGUAGGAAUACCCUAUCUUGUUUAUAAGAGCUUUGAUACAUGCAAAAUAUUCGAAAACAAUGUCCGAACAUAUAAUUUUUGUCCCGUAAUAUAGCAAAGAUCACGAAAAGGCCAGAAAAAAUACAUUUCGGUCAAAAUUUGGAGUAGAAAAAAAGCCCUUCCUCAUUCAUUGGACAGCUCUCUUUGGGCUUUCCGAAAAGGUAUCACAUGCCAAGUUUGGCCUCACGGUCUAAACCUUAUAGACUCAUACAUUUUUCACAAAAAAAAGAAGAGAAAAACCAAAAAAAAGAGUGAUUAAACACGAGGAUUUUCCUGGAGGUCACCCAUCCUAGUACUACUCUCGCCCAAGCACGCUUAACUGCGAANNNNNNNNNNNNNNNNNNNNNNNNNNNNNNNNNNNNNNNNNNNNNNNNNNGUGUUACUACAUGCAAUGUAAUCGUAUCUAUUCUUUUUUAAAGACUUUAUGAUCCAUUUGCCGUGGGUCCCACCAGCUAUGUAGGAAUAUCCUAUAUUCUUUAUAAGAGCUUUGAUACAUGCAAAAUAUUCGAAAACAAUGUCCGAACAUAUAAUUUCCCCCCCGUAAUAUAGCAAAGAUCACGAAAAGGCCCAAAAAAGUACAUUAAGUUUAAAAUUUGGAGUAGAAAAAAAACCAAUAGAAAAAUUCCAUUUUCCUUCCUCAGUCAUCGAAGAGCUCUCUUUGGGCUUUCUGAAAAGGUAUCACAUGCCAAGUUUGGCCUCACGGUCUAAAAGUUAUAGAGUCAUACAUUUUUAACAAAACAAAAAGAGAAAAACCGAAAAAAACAGGGAUGCAACACGAGGACUUUCCUGGAGGUCUCCCAUCCUAGUACUACUCUCGCCCAAGCACCCUUAACUGCGUAGUUCUGAUGGGAUCCGAUGCAUUAGUGCUGGUAUGAUCGCAUCUGUUACUACAUGCAAUGUAAUCGUAUCUAUUCUUUUUUAAAGACNUUUAUGAUCCAUUUGCCGUGGGUCCCACCAGCUAUGUAGGAAUACCCUAUCUUCUUAAUAAGAGCCUUGAUAAAUGCAAAAUAUUGGAAAACAAUGUCCGAACAUAUAAUGCCCCCCCCCCCGUAAUAUAGCAAAGAUCACGAAAAUGCCCAAAAAAGUACAUUUAGGUCAAAAUUUGAGUAGAAAAAAAAACAAUAGAAGAAUUCCAUUUUCCUUCCUCAUUUAUCGGAGAGCUCUCUUUGGGCUUUCCGAAAAGGUAUCACAUGACAAGUUUGGCCUCACGGUCUAAAAGAUAUAGAGUCAUACAUUAUUAACAAAACAAAAUAGAGAAAAACCGAAAAAAAAGAGGGAUGCAACGCGAGGACUUUCCGGGAGGUAAUCUAUCCUAGUACUACUCUCGCCCAAGCACCCUUACCUGCGGAGUUCUGAUGGGAUCCGGUGCAGUAGUGCUGGUAUGAUCGCAUGUGUUACUACAUGCAAUGCAAUCAUAUAUAUUCUUUUUUGAAGACUUUAUGAUCCAUUUGCCGUAGGUCCCACCAGCUAUGUAGGAAUACCCUAUCUUGUUUAUAAGAGCUUUGAUACAUGCAAAAUAUUCGAAAACAAUGUCCGAACAUAUAAUUUUUGUCCCGUAAUAUAGCAAAGAUCACGAAAAGGCCAGAAAAAAUACAUUUCGGUCAAAAUUUGGAGUAGAAAAAAACCCCUUCCUCAUUCAUUGGACAGCUCUCUUUGGGCUUUCCGAAAAGGUAUCACAUGCCAAGUUUGGUCUCACGGUUUAAAAGUUAUAGAGUCAUACAUUUUUCACAAAAAAAAGAAGAGAAAAAACAAAAAAAAGAGUGAUGAAACACGAGGACUUUCCUAGAGGUCACCCAUCCUAGUACUACUCUCGCCCAAGCACGCGUAACUGCGAAGUUCUGAUGGGAUCUGGUGCAUUAGUGCUGGUAUGAUCGCAUCUGUUACUACAUGCAAUGCAAUCGUAUCUAUUCUUUUUUGAAGAUUUUAUGAUCCAUUUGCAGUGGGUCCCACCAGCUAUGUAGGAAUACCCUAUCUUGUUUAUAAGAGCUUUGAUACAUGCAAAAUCUUCGAAAACAAUGUCCGAACAUAUAAUUUUCGCCCCGUAAUAUAGCAAAGAUCACGAAAAUGCCAAAAUAGUACAUUAAGGUCAAAAUUUGGAGUAGGAAAAAAAACCCUUCAUCAUUCAUUGGAGAGCUCUCUCUGGGCUUUCCGAAAAGGUAUCACAUGCCAAGUUUGGCCUCACGGUCUAAAAGUUAUAAAGUCAUACAUUUUUAACAAAAAAAAAAGAGAAAAACCGAAAAAAAGAGUUAUGUAACACGAGGACUUUCCUGGAGGUCACCCGUCCUAGUACUACUCUCGCCCAAACACGCUUAACUGUGGUGUUCUGAUAGGAUCAAGUGCAUUAGUGCUGGUAUGAUCGCAUCAGUUACUACAUGCAAUGCAAUCAUAUAUAUUCUUUUUUGAAAACUUUAUGAUCCAUUUGCCGUAGGUCCCACCAGCUAUGUCGGAAUACCCUAUCUUGUUUAUAAGAGCUUUGAUACAUGCAAAAUAUUCGAAAACAAUGUCCGAACAUAUAAUUUUUGUCCCGUAAUAUAGCAAAGAUCACGAAAAGGCCAAAAAAAAUACAUUUCGGUCAAAAUUUGGAGUAGAAAAAAACCCCUUCCUCAUUCAUUCGACAACUCUCUUUGGGCUUUCCGAAAAGGUAUCACAUGCCAAGUUUGGUCUCACGGUCUAAAAGUUAUAGAGUCAUACAUUUUUCACAAAAAAAAGAAGAGAAAAAACCAAAAAAAGAGUGAUGAAACACGAGGACUUUCCUGGAGGUCACUCAUGCUAGUACUACUCUCGCCCAAGCACGCUUAACUGCGAAGUUCUGAUGGGAUCUGGUGCAUUGGUGAUGGUAUGAUCGCAUCUGUUACUACAUGCAAUGCAAUCGUAUCUAUUUUUUUUUGAAGAUUUUAUGAUCCAUUUGCAGUGUGUCCCACCAGCUAUGUAGGAAUACCCUAUCUUGUUUAUAAGAGCUUUGAUACAUGCAAAAUAUUCGAAAACAAUGUCCGAACAUAUAAUUUUUGUCCCGUAAUAUAGCAAAGAUCACGAAAAGACCAGAAAAAAUACAUUUCGGUCAAAAUUUGGAGUAGAAAAAAAACCCUUCCUCAUUCAUUGGACAGCUCUCUUUGGGCUUUCCGAAAAGGUAUCACAUGCCAAGUUUGGUCUCACGGUUUAAAAGUUAUAGAGUCAUACAUUUUUCACAAAAAAAAGAAGAGAAAAAACAAAAAAAAGAGUGAUGAACCACGAGGACUUUCCUGGAGGUCACCCAUCCUAGUACUACUCUCGCCCAAGCACGCGUAACUGCGAAGUUCUGAUGGGAUCUGGUGCAUUAGUGCUGGUAUGAUCACAUCUGUUACUACAUGCAAUGCAAUCGUAUCUAUUCUUUUUUGAAGAUUUUAUGAUCCAUUUGCAGUGGGUCCCACCAGCUAUGUAGGAAUACCCUAUCUUGUUUAUAAGAGCUUUGAUACAUGCAAAAUCUUCGAAAACAAUGUCCGAACAUAUAAUUUUCGCCCCGUAAUAUAGCAAAGAUCACGAAAAUGCCAAAAUAGUACAUUUAGGUCAAAAUUUGGAGUAGGAAAAAAAAACCUUCAUCAUUCAUUGGAUAGCUCUCUCUGGGCUUUUCGAAAAGGUAUCACAUGCCAAGUUUGGCCUCACGGUCUAAAAGUUAUAAAGUCAUACAUUUUUAACAAAAAAAAAAGAGAAAAACCGAAAAAAAGAGUUAUGAACCACGAGGACUUUCCUGGAGGUCACCCGUCCUAGUACUACUCUCGCCCAAACACGCUUAACUGCGGUGUUCUGAUAGGAUCAAGUGCAUUAGUGCUGGUAUGAUCGCAUCAGUUACUACAUGCAAUGCAAUCAUAUAUAUUCUUUUUUGAAGACUUUAUGAUCCAUUUGCCGUAGGUCCCACCAGCUAUGUAGGAAUACCCUAUCUUGUUUAUAAGAGCUUUGAUACAUGCAAAAUAUUCGAAAACAAUGUCCGAACAUAUAAUUUUUGUCCCGUAAUAUAGCAAAGAUCACGAAAAGGCCAAAAAAAAUACAUUUCGGUCAAAAUUUGGAGUAGAAAAAAACCCCUUCCUCAUUCAUUGGACAGCUCUCUUUGGGCUUUCCGAAAAGGUAUCACAUGCCAAGUUUGGUCUCACGGUCUAAAAGUUAUAGAGUCAUACAUUUUUCAGAAAAAAAAGAAGAGAAAAAACCAAAAAAAGAGUGAUGAAACACGAGGACUUUCUUGGAGGCCACCCAUCCUAGUACUACUCUCGCCCAAGCACGCUUAACUGCGAAGUUCUGAUGGGAUCUGGUGCAUUAGUGAUGGUAUGAUCGCAUCUGUUACUACAUGCAAUGCAAUCGUAUCUAUUCUUUUUUGAAGAUUUUAUGAUCCAUUUGCAGUGGGUCCCACCAGCUAUGUAGGAAUACCCUAUCUUGUUUAUAAGAGCUUUGAUACAUGCAAAAUAUUCGAAAACAAUGUCCGAACAUAUAAUUUUCGCCCCGUAAUAUAGCAAAGAUCACGAAAAUGCCGAAAUAGUACAUUAAGGUCAAAAUUUGGAGUAGGAAAAAAAAACCUUCCUCAUUCAUUGGAGAGCUCUCUUUGGGUUUUCCGAAAAGGUAUCACAUGCCAAGUUUGGCCUCACGGUCUAAAAGUUAUAAAGUCAUACAUUUUUAACAAAAAAAAAAAGAGAAAAACCGAAAAAAAGAGUUAUGCAACACGAGGACUUUCCUGGAGGUCACCCGUCCUAGUACUACUCUCGCCCAAACACGCUUAACUACGGUGUUCUGAUAGGAUCAAGUGCAUUAGUGCUGGUAUGAUCGCAUCAGUUACUACAUGCAAUGCAAUCAUAUAUAUUCUUUUUUGAAGACUUCAUGAUCCAUUUGCCGUAGGUCCCACCAGCUAUGUAGGAAUACCCUAUCUUGUUUAUAAGAGCUUUGAUACAUGCAAAAUAUUCGAAAACAAUGUCCGAACAUAUAAUUUUUGUCCCGUAAUAUAGCAAAGAUCACGAAAAGGCCAGAAAAAAUAAAUUUCGGUCAAAAUUUAGAGUAGAAAAAAACCCCUUCCUCAUUCAUUGGACAACUCUCUUUGGGCUUUCCGAAAAGGUAUCACAUGCCAAGUUUGGCCUCACGGUCUAAAAGUUAUAGAGUCAUACAUUUUUCACAAAAAAAAGAAGAGAAAAACCAAAAAAAAGAGUGAUGAAACACGAGGACUUUCCUGGAGGUCACCCAUCCUAGUACUACUCUCGCCCAAGCACGCUUAACGGCGGUGUUCUGAUAGGAUCAAUUACAUUUGUGCUGGUAUGAUCGCAUCAGUUACUACAUGCAAUGCGAUCAUAUAUAUUCUUUUUUGAAGACUUUACAAUCCAUUUGUCGUAGGUCCCACCAGCUAUGUAGGAAUCCCCUAUCUUGUUUAUAAGAGCUUUGAUACAUGCAAAAUAUUCGAAAACAAUGUUCGAACAUAUAAUUUUUCGCCCCGUAAUAUAGCAAAGAUCACGAAAAGGCCAGAAAAAGUACAUUUAGGUCAAAAUUUGGAGUAGAAAAAACCCCCCCUUCCUCAUUCAUUGGAGAGCUCUCUUUGGGCUUUCCGGAAAGGUAUCACAUGCCAAGUUUGGCCUCACGGUCUAAACCUUAUAGACUCAUACAUUUUUAACAAAAAAAAGAAGAGAAAAAACGAAAAAAAGAAGGAUACAACACGAGGACUUUCCGAGAGGUUACCCAUCUUCGUACUACUCUCGCACAAGUACGCUUAACUGCGGAGUUCUGAUGGGAUCUGGUGCAUUAGUGCUGGUAUGAUCGCAUCUGUUAUUACAUGCAAUGCAAUCGUAUCUAUUCUUUUUUCAAGACUUUAUGAUCCAUUUGCCGUGGGUCCCACCAGCUACGUAGGAAUACCCUAUCUUGUUUAUAAGAGCUUUGAUACAUGCAAAAUAUUCGAAAACAAUGUCCGAACAUAUAAUUUUCGUCCCGUAAUAUAGCAAAGAUCACAAAAAGGCCAGAAAGAGUACAUUUACGUCAAAAUUUGGAUAGAAAAAAAACAAAUAGAAGAAUUCCAUUUUGACUUCCUCAUUCAUCGGAAAGCUCUCUUUGGGCUUUCCGAAAAGGUAUCACAUGCCAAGUUUGGAAUCACGGUUUAAAAGUUAUAGAGUCAUACAUUUUUAACAAAAAAUAAAGAGAAAACCCGAAAAAUGAGGGAUGCAACACGAGGACUUUUCGGGAGGUCACCCAUCGUAGUACUACUCUCGCCCAAGCACGCUUAACUGUAGAGUUCUGAUGGGAUCCGGUUCAUUAUUGCUGGUAUGAUCGCAUCCGUUACUACAUGCAAUGCAAUCGUAUCUAUUCUUUUUUGAAGACUUUAUGAUCCAUUUGCCGUGGGUCCCACCAGCUAUGUUGGAAUACCCUAUCUUGUUUAUAAGAGCUUUGUUACAUGCAAAAUAUUCGAAAACAAUGUCCGAACAUAUAAUAUUUGCCCCGUAAUAUAGCAAAGAUCACGAAAAGGCCAGAAAACCUAUAUUAAGUUCAAAAUUUGGAGUAGAAAAAAACCAAUAGAAGAAUUCCAUUUUCCUUCCUCACUCAUCGGAGAGCUCUCUUUGGGGCUUUCCGAAAAGGUAUCACAUGCAAAGUUUGGCCUCACAGGCUAAAAGUUAUAGAGUCGUACAUUUUUAACAAAAAAAAAAAGAGAAAAGCCGAAAAAAAGAAGGAUGCAACACAAGGACUUUCCGGGAGGUCAGCCAUCCUAAUAUUACUCUCGCCCAAGCACGCUUAACUGUAGAGUUCUGAUGGGAUCCGGUGCAUUAGUGCUGGUAUGAUCGCAUCUGUUACUACAUGCAAUGCAAUCGUAUCUAUUCUUUUUUUAAGACUUUAUGAUCCAUUUACCGUGGGUCCCACCAGCUACGUAGGAAUAACCUAUCUUAUUUAUAAGAGCUUUGAUACAUGCAAAAUAUUCGAAAACAAUGUCCGAACAUAUAAUUUUCGUCCCGUAAUAUAGCAAAGAUCACAAAAAGGCCAGAAAGAGUACAUUAAGGUCAAAAUUUUGGAGUAGAAAAAAAAACCCUUCCUCAUUCAUUAAAGAGCUCUCUUUGGCAUUUCCGAAAAGGUGUCACAUGCCAAGUUCGGCCUCACGGUCUAAAAGUUAUAGAGUCAUACAUUGUUAACAAAAAAAAAGAGAAAAACCGAUUAAAAGAGUUAUGCAACACAAGGACUUUCCUGGAGGUCACCCGUCCUAGUACUACUCUCGCCCAAGCACGCUUAAAUGCGGAGUUCUGAUGGGAUCCGGUCCAUGAGUGGUGGUAUGAUCACAUCCGUUACUACAUGCAAUGCAAUCGUAUCUAUUAUUUUUUGAAGACUUUAUGAUCCAUUUGCCGUGGGUCCCACCAGCUAUGUAGGAAUACCCUAUCUUGUUUAUAAGAGCUUUGAUACAUCCAAAAUAUUCGAAAACAAUGUUGGAACGUAUAAGUUUCGCUCAGUAAUAUAGCAAAGAUCACGAAAAGGCCACAAAAAGUACAUUAAGGUAAAAAUUUAGAGUAGGAAAAAAAAACAAUAGGAGAAUUCCAUGUUCCUUCCUCAAUCAUCGGAGAGCUCUCUUUGGGCUUUCCAAAAAGGUAUCACAUGCCAAGUUUGGCCUCACGGUCUAAAAGUUAUAGAGUCAUACAUUUUUAACAAAAAAAAAUAGAGAAAAACCAAAAAAAAGAGGGAUGCAACACGAAGACUUUCCUGGAGGUCACCCAUCCUAGUACUACUCUCGCCCAAGCACGCUUAACUGCGGUGUUCUGAUAGGAUCAAGUGCAUUAGUGCUGGUAGGAUCGCAUUCGUUACUACAUGCAAUGCAAUUAUAUAUAUUCUUUUUUGAAGACUUUAUGAUCCAUUUGCGGUAGGUCCCACCAGCUAUGUAGGAAUACCCUAUCUUGCUUAUAAGAGUUUUGAUACAUGCAAAAAUAUUCGAAAACAAUGUCCGAACAUAUAAUUUUUGUCCCGUAAUAUAACAAAGAUCACGAAAAGGCCAAAAAUAGUACAUUUCGGUCAAAACAUGGAGCAGAAAAAAAACCCCUUCCUCAUUCAUCGGAGAGCUCUCAUUGGGCUUUCCGAAAAGAUAUCACAUGCAAAGUUUGGCCUCACGGUUUAAAAGUUAUAGAGUCAAAUAUUUUUAACAAAAAAAAGAGAGAAAAACCGAAAACAAAGAGGGAUGCAACACGAGGACUUUCCGGAAGGUCACCCAUCCUAGUACUACUCUAGCCCAAGCACGCUUAACCGCGGAGUUCUGAUAGGAUCCGGUGCAUUAGUGCUGGUAUGAUCGCAUCAGUUACUACAUGCAAUGCAAUCAUAUAUAUUUUUUUUGAAGACUUUAUGAUCCAUUUGCCGUGGGUCCCACCAGCUAUGUAGGAAUACCUAUCUUGUUUAUAAGAGCUUUGAUACAUGCAAAAUAUUUGAAAACAAUGUCCGAACGUAUAAUCUUCGUCCCGUAAUAUAGCAAAGAUCACGAAAAGGCCAGAAAAAGUACAUUAAGGUCAAAAUUUUGACUAGAAAAAAAAAACAAUAGAAAAAUUCCAUUGUCCUUCCUCAUUCAUCGGAGAGUUCUCUUUGGGCUUUCCGAAAAGGUAUCACAUGCCAAGUUUGGCCUCACGGUCUAAAACUUAUAGAAUCAUACAUUCUUAACAAAAAAAAAAAAAAAACCGAAAAAAAGAAGAAUGCAACACAAGGACUUUCCAGGAGGUCAACCAUCCUAGUAGUACUCUCGCCCAAUCACGCUUAACUGCAGAGUUCUGAUGGGAUCCGGUGCAUUAGUGCUGGUAUGAUCGCAUC